UCAGGGACUCAUGGGAAGAUAUCACAACACAACUCUAAAAGUAAAAUAAUUCAUACAAGCACCAUAUUACAAGCCAGGGGCCUCGAGGGCUCGAAUACAAGUGCUCGAACAUAAACGAGUCAGCGGAAGCAACAAUAUCUGAGUACAGACAUAAGUUAAACAAGUUGCCAUAAGAUGGCUAGCACAAACUGGGAUACAGAUCGAAAGAGGCGCACGCCUCCUGCCUGGGAUCCUCCUAAACUACUCCUGGUCGUCGUUAACGGCCUGCACGUAGUAGUAGGCACCUCCAGUGUAGUAGGAGUCAUCGUCGACGGUGGCGUCUGGAUCCUGGGCUCCAACGUCUGGUUGCGGCAUCCGAGAAGAAAAGAAAAGAGGGGGAAAAGAGGGAGCAAAGGAACCGUGAGUACUCGUCCAAAGUACUCGCAAGCAAGGAUCUACACUACAUAUGCAUGGGUAUAUGUGUAAAGAGGCAAUAUCUGUGGACUGAACUGCAGAAUGCCAGAAUAAGAGGGGGAUAGCUAGUCCUAUCGAAGACUACGCUUCUGGCAGCCUUCGUCUUGCAGCAUGUAGAAGAGAGUAGAUUGAAGUCCUCCAAGUAGCAUCGCAUAGCAUAAUCCUACCCGGCGAUCCUCCCCUGGUCGCUGAGGGAAUCCUGGAUUAGGGGGUCCUCGGACAGCUGAACUAUAUGCUUAUGCCGGACUGUUGGACUAUGAAGAUACAGGAUUGAAGACUUCGUCCCAUGUCCGGGUGGGACUCUCCUUUGCGUGGAAGGCAAGCUUGGCAACUCGGAUAUGUAGAUUCCCUUCUUUGUAACCGACUCUCUGUAACCCUAGCCCCCUCCGGUGUCUAUAUAAACCAGAGGGUUUAGUCCGUAGGACAAGAACAAUCAUAAUCAUAGGCUAGCUUCUAGGGUUACCCUCUACGAUCUCAUGGUAGAUCAACUCUUGUAAUACUCAUAUCAUCAAGAUCAAUCAAGCAGGAAGUAGGGUAUUACCUCCAUAGAGAGGGCCCGAACCUGGGUAAACAUCAUGUCCCCCGCCUCAUGUUACCAUUAGCCUUAGAUGCACAGUUCGAGACACCCUACCCGAGAUCCGCCGGUUUUGACACCGACAUUGGUGCUUUCAUUGAGAGAUCCACCGUGUCGUCACCAUAAGGCUUGAUGGCUCCUUCAAUCAUCUACAACAAUGUGGUCCAAGGUGAGGUAUUCCUCUCGGACAGAUCUUCGUAUUCGGCGAAUUCGCACUGCGGGCCAACUCGCUUGGCCAUCUGGAGCAGAUCGAUAGCUACGCCCCUGGCCAUCAGGUCAGGUUUGGAAGCCUGAACUACACUGCCAACAUCCGCGGAGAUUUGAUCUUCGACGGAUUCGAGCCCAUGACAGGUGCACCCUACAGCCACGAUGAGCAUGACCUAGAUCUGCCAUCGGACGGUGUUCGGGAGAUCACACCUGCAGCUGCCCUGGCUUUAGAUCCAGUGCAGAUCGUGCCAUCCGAGGACGGGAGGAUGGACCCCGCCACGGAAGCCGCACACUUAACGGCGAUAGAGCCGAACACAGAUUUCACUUCCAAUGAUGUCUGUGUCAUCGGACCCUCGGACUCGCCUCCGUCCAUAGGCUCCGAACUACAUGUAUCCAUGCCCAUGAGAUCCAACUGGGCGUCGAUCUUGGAGUUCAACUCCGCGGACAUUUUUCAGCACUCGCCCUUGGGUGACGUGCUGAACUCGCUAAAAUCUCUCUCCUUGUCGGGAGAUUCUUGGCCGAAUUAUGUCCGGCUCGAGUGGGAAGCGGACGAUGAAAAGGAAUUCGUCGACGACUUAACUGACAGGAUUGAUUUCGACUCCGAAGACAUUGACGGUAUGGACGAGGAUGCCGGAGAAGAACAUGAACCACCGCCCACAGAACGAUGGACAGCUACCUCAUCGUACGGCAUAUAUAUGGUGGACACACCCAAAGAAAACAAUGGCGAGGGGCAGAAGGACGCAACGACUCCUGAGAAGCAGCCAAAGCGUCGACGUCAGCGGCGCCGCUCUAAACCCCGCCAUAGCAAAAAUAGCGAUACCGGCACAAGAAAGAAUAACACCCCGGACAAUGCCGAAGACGACGACCACCCCGCAGACCCAGCGAUGGAGCAGGACGAGCAAGGGGACGGCGAACAAAGUCCGGGGCCGCUGUCCGAUCACAGCGAUGGCGAAGACAAAACUUAUAAACCUGUCUCCGGAGAGGAGAACAGUCCGGACAACGAUGCACGCAUCAUCCCGAAAAAACACUUGGAACUUAUUGCCACCGCGUGGAGCCUGAAGAAGCAGAAGCAACGGCUAGAAGCCGUGCAGGAUACGCUCAACUACAGAUGGAACGAAGUGCUCAACACUGAGGAAAGAUACGGCGGUGAUCGCCAGACAAAGAGCUACGCAAAACGUAAGCUGCUGCCCGAAUUCGACGACAAGGCUAUCGCGCCCAUUCCGUCGAAAAACAAUACGGCCGGUCUGCUAGACCGACCACCUCAUGGCCGAGACAGAGCGGCUAAUGAUGCCGCACACAAGUCAGCACACGAUCUACAUGAGCACCUGGAAAAAAGAGCUGGUAUGAUCAGGUCCAUCUAUGGAUCUAGGAAACGUGUUCCUAUGCAGGAUCACGGUCACCAAACCGACUAUACUUAUCGACUGCCAGCUCAAAAUCAACACCGAACACUACAGCCGUCGGACCCAUGCCACGACACAGCCAAGUACAGGGGUGUCGCACACCCCCUGUGCUUCACCGAUGAGGUGCUGGAUCAUGAAUUUCCAGAGGGGUUUAAACCCGUAAACAUCGAGGCAUAUGACGGAACAACAGACCCUGCAGUCUGGAUUGAGGACUUUAUUCUUCACAUCCAUAUCUCUCGCGGAGACAAUCUCCACGCCAUCAAAUACUCGCCCCACAAGUUGAAAGGACCAGCUCGGCACUGGUUGAAAAGCCUCCCCGAAAUUUCCAUUGGAAGCUGGGAGGAACUCGAGGACGCUUUUAGGUCUAAUUUUCAAGGGACAUAUGUCCAACCUCCGGAUGUAGACGAUUUAAGUCACAUAAUUCAACAACGCGGAGAGUCAGCCCGUAAGCUUUGGAACAAAUUUCUCACCAAGAAGAACCAAAUCGUCGACUGUCCGGAUGCCGAAGCCCUAGCAGCUUUCAAACACAGUGUCCGGGACGAAUGGCUUGCCAGACACCUCGGCCAGGAAAAGCCAAGGACAAGGGCAGCCCUAACAACUCUUAUGACCCACUUUUGCGUGGGCGAGGACAUUUGGUUGGCCCGCAGCGGCACCAGCGAUCCAGGCACAUCCAAAAUCAGGGAUGGCAAUGGAAAACCGCGACGCAAUAAAAACAAGCGUCGAAAUAAUGAAGACAACCCAGACAAUACAGUGGUAAACGCCGGAUUCAGGGGUUCUAGACCCGGUCAACGGAAAAAUCCAUUUAAAGGCAGCAGAGAUGGUCCAUCCAGCCUAAAUAAAAUUCUAGACAGGUCCUGUCAAAUUCAUGGCACCCCCGAGAAACCUGCAAAUCACACCAACAGAGAAUGCUGGGUCUUCAAGCAGGCCGGCAAGCUAAACGCCGAACACAAAGGGAGGGAGCCGCCAAGUGAAGAUGAGGACGAACCCCGCCAGCCGAACACUAGGGGACAUAAUUUUUUUCCACCGGAGGUCAAAACAGUGAACAUGAUUUACGCCACUCACAUACCAAAGAGGAAGCGCAAACGCGCACUCCGAGACGUAUAUGCUGUAGAUCCUGUCGCCCCCAAAUUCAACCCAUGGUCGGCCUGGCUGAUCACUUUCGAUCGCAGGGAUCACCCGACUAGUAUCCGGCAUGGAGGUUCGGCUCCCUUGGUGCUCGACCCAAUAAUUGACGGAUACCAUCUCACCUGAGUCCUCAUGGACGGCGGCAGUAGUAUUAAUCUGAUAUAUCAGGACACUGUCCGCAAGAUGGGGAUAGACCCAUCAAGAAUCAACCAAAGCAGUACUACCUUUAAAGGAUUAAUACCAGGCAUAGAGGCCCGCUGCACGGGCUCUUUAACAUUAGAGGUUGUAUUCGGUUCUCCCGACAACUUUCGAAGCGAAGAACUAACCUUCGACAUCGCUCUGUUCCGAAGCGGCUAUCAUGCACUAAUCGGAAGGACGGCCUUCGCUCGUUUCAAUGCAUUACCGCACCACGCUUAUCUCAAACUUAAGAUGCCCGAUCCAUGUGGCGUCAUUACAAUCAGCGGAAACACAGAGCGUUCUCUUCGUGCGGAAGAAUACAUGGCGGCUCUAGCAGCCGAACCACUGAACGGCCUCUCCAACCCGAGUAACUCAUCGGUCUUCGAGACCACGGACACGUAUAGACGUGUUCGGCGCACACCUAGUUGUAGAAGCCCAGAUAAACCUGAGCUUGAUUAACGGCUAUGCCCCCAUAUGUGGUGCGGGGGGCUGCCCGCAUGUAAAAGGUCCAUAGUUCGGCUUGACCCUAUUUACACUCAAGAGAUUGAAUUUUCACGGUUCAUCAAGAUUAACCGACUUUACGCAUGGUCACACCAGAUUCUUUCACCUGGAUUUUUUUUUCAGAUGACCAUCGUGCUAUACCCUUCAAAGAUACGGCACAACGGAGGCAAAGGCGCAGAUGUGCAGCGGGGCCGCGUCCAAAGGUUUGUUUUUAGAUUAAGACCCUGUGUAAACCUUUUUUAUUGUCUCUUGUUGUCUCACACCCUCCUGGCACUUAAAAUGACCAAGAGGGAUACCGACGUUGCCGGCGAACUUAUGAUUCGCCAUUCUAAAGUAGACGUUACAAAGACAUCAACCAGUGUGUUUUCGAGAUCUACGCUCUCACCACAGGCGCUCUUUCGUGACGCCGGAUUGAUGCACGCACCUUGAAAUUCAGGGCUCAUUAUCGAGGGUGGUACUCAGCCCAGUAUAUGUUGUAAAGUCUGAAUACCUUCCGGAGUGUUCGGCGUCGCGAGUUUGGCCUUAUAUGCAUCAGAUCCGAAUCAUGUCUUUGGUCAAUAGUUGGGUUUGCCCGGCUCCUGUGUUUUGCUACCUUACGUUCCGCUCUAUCGGCUAAGGUGGCACAGGGAGAACUAGUGCGAUUGUGCCCUGGUUCAUCCGGAUGAGCACCUCAGUAGAGAAAGCCGAAAACUGACUGUCAUGAUAAAGCGAGAGACUGGUCAACCACUCGAUGACUCAGCGGAAUCUUCGCGAUUCCUCGCAUUAACGAAGGACUGGUCACUACUAGAAAAAAGGCUGCUAGUGGCGCACCUGUUUUUGCUAUUAAUGGCGCACUAUAGGUGCGCCAUUACUAUGUCCCACAGUGCGCCAUUACUAUGUCCCACAGUGCGCCAUUACUAUCUGACUUAGUAAUGGCGCACCACAUAGAAGUGCGCCAUUACUAAUAAUUUUUUUCAGAUAUUUUUUUCAAUUUUUUUUCAGAUUUUUUUUUCAUUUUUUUCUUAAUCUCGGGUCACUAUGGCUUAAUCUCGGGUCAAUAUGCUUAAUCUCAAGUCAAAUCGCACUCCGUGAUCAAACUUCCUGGAAGGUCACCCAUCCUCACACUACUCCAGCCCGAGCACGCUUAACUUCCCAGUUCUAUCCAACCCCAGCACCAGCUCACUUAGCAGGCACUUGUUGAUAUAUCUAUCAUAUCAAUCCUAUUAAACCUUGUUGAUGUCUAGGACUUUGUUCAUGUUCAUGAGUGUGAUGAAAUUUUGAAAAAAUAUUUCAAACUUCCCGGUCAUAUUACGUAUCAUAUUUUGAACAUUUUUUCCAAAAAAAAAUCGAAACCAAUUUUUUUCUGUUACUAGUGGCGCACCUAGCAAAUGGUGCGCCAUUACUAAGUUUGAAUUUUUUUUCCAUUUUUCCCCCUCUAGAUCUUAAAAGCCCCGUAUCUUUUAUUCUCUUAGGUUUUUGGGGAUUCUAAAAAUCUUCAACGGGGUUCCGAGUUCAUAUAAAAAACUUGUGCAAAUAUAAAAACUUAUUUCCAGUAGAUGAUUCUUCAUAUAAAAAACUUUUUAAUCCGAGUUCGUAUGCAAAAGCCCCUAGUAAUUCGGAUGUAACUUUUCGAGUAGAUGAUUUUUCAUAUAAAAAACUUUUUAAUCCGAGUUCGUAUACAAAAGUUAUGCCCAUUUUACUAAUUUCCAGAGCGAUUUUGCAAAUAAAGUCAAAAUUCAUAUUUGUAAAUUUUCCUAACAACUAAACCACAUAUCACAUGGGAAACUUAUUUUCUUUUAUUUUUUUGACAUUUUCAUCAUUUUGUUUUUUUUAACUGAAAAGGUGGUCCAUGGGGGGUGCAUUUGGUGAAAAUUUUCAAACUUCCCGGUCAUAGUAAUGGCGCACCUUCACAAAGUGCGCCAUUACUAUGUGUAUGACUUGGUCAAACCUUGGUCAAAGUUAGUAAUGGCGCACCUUGCCAUUACUAAGUUUGACAUAGUAAUGGCGCACCUAUGCAAAGUGCGCCAUUAUUAAGUUUGACCAAGGUUUGACCCAGUCAUACACAUAGUAGUGGCGCACUUUGUGAAGGUGCGCCAUUACUAUGUCAACCUAGUAAUGGUGCACCUAUACAAAGUGCGCCAUUACUAUGUGUAUGACUGGGUCCAACCUUGGUCAAACUUAGUAAUGGCGCACUUUUCACCAUGUGCGCCAUUAGUAAUAUGGCCAUUAAUGGUGCACCUAUAUCUGGUGCGCCACUGCUAUAUAGCAGUGGCGCACCACAUCCAUGAUGCGCCAUUAGUGUCCAUAUUAGCUAUAGCCGUUUUUCUAGUAGUGGGUUUCCCGGUCACGUAUGUAAACGCACCGUAUUCGGAUAAACGCGGACAUACCAGGGGCUAUAUAGUAGUCCCACCGUCAAACUCCUAUGGCUAAGUGAAAGUGUUAAAGCUAUAUAGUCUGAUUGCCUCGUUUGCCGCGCUACCACCUCCUUAACGGACCAAGACGUUGGAUCAAGUGUGAUUACGUGCUUUGCCGAACACCCCCGCAUUAUACGUGAGGGGGCUGAGGCCGACAACUUCAAACUUUCAGGUUAUAUACAUAUAUACAUAAACGGCCGCACAGGAGGCACUACAAUACUUUACGGGCAAAAGUAUAAAUAUAGCCCUUAUUAUCAAAAGCAUUGUUUUUACAAUCAAGAUAAAUGUCAUUCGAACAUGGUAUUCUUUGAGCACUGAGCCUCUAUUAAACGGGCACCUUCUAAGACUUCUUCAAAAUAGUGCUCGGGCGAGUCCUGGCCCCCGGGUGGACCCCUGGUUGCAAUAUCGGUGGCCUCCAUCUUCGCCCAGUAUGUCUUAACACGGGCAAGGGCCAUCCUUGCCCCCUCUAUGCACGCCGACCGCUUGACAGCGUCGAUAUGCGGCACAACACGAGUAAAUCGUUGCACCAAACCAAAAUAACUGUCCGAACUUGGUUCCUUCGGCCACAUGCGAUCCAAAACAGCCUUCAUGGCAAGCCCGGUUAACCUAUGGAGCUCGGCCCAUUCGGCCAUUUGCUCGUUCAACAGCAGCGGACGCCUUGGAGUACUGAACUGCGACCAAAACAAUCUUUCCGCUUCAUGAUCUUGAUCUUGGAAAUACUGUGCCGCAUCAGCAGCACUCUGACAAAUCGAAGUACGCGUCUGGAGAGCUCCAUAACUGAUCAAGAGGGGCAUACUUCGGAUCACCGAAUUUGUUUCGCAAUAAAAAGGGCUUCCCAGCCGCGAUCUCACCGGCUUGCCGAAGCUCCUCCCGAGCCGCUCUGAUCUCAGAGCGAGUUUCCUUUGCUGCUUGUAAGGCCUUCUUUAGGUCAGCCGUUUUCGCUUGGUUUUCCCUUUCGAGAAGCUCCUAUCGACUAGCGCAUUUUGUAGCUCAAGAGCCAGGUUGGCUAUUCUAUCCUCACUUUUACGAUGGGCAGCCUGUUCGGCUUUUAAUUCACCAGCUGCCUUCACGGCAGCCGCAUUGCUUCUCCUGGCUUGCUCCUUGGCCCGGGCAAGCUCUGCCCGAAGGAUCUCCGCGGCGGCAGCACCAUCUGCAGUCAAAGCAUAUCAUAAAACCUAGCAUCAUGCUCUUAUUAAUAUUUGCUGACCACCCAAAUAUACAUACCCUGUGCCUCGUCAAGCCGCUUGUUCACAAGCGUGAUGUCUGCAUCCGCCACAUCAAGUUGCCGCUUCAUUUUGGCAAAUUCAGCAGUCCGGUCAGCCGCCGGAGCUGCAGCCGCCUGCGUACAAAAUUGGCACCAUCAUUACCUGAGACUAUGAUCCUUUGCUCGCCUUGUCUGGAUGGCAACCAGAGUCUCAGGGGCUACUAUCUAUACAAAGUGCACCUUGCAUUUACGGUACAAUCAAAAAAUAUCACUUUGCGUACCUCAAAGCCUCUUAGCAGGCUCGUAAAAGCUUCAUUCAACCCGGUUUUUGCGGAUGAAAUCCUCUCAACCACUGUACCCAUUAACGUACGAUGUGCCUCUGAGAUAGCCGCUUGCCGCAGAAGACCCGUCAAUGUGUCCGGUUGUAUAUCGAACAGUCCUGGGCUUUUUCUGUUGGUCUCUUUAGGAGCUGAAAACCCCGGACUUCGGGCGGCCGAAGAGUUACCUUCUGGUCUUUGCGGAUCGGGAGAUAUCCUCCGGGACGACACCUCAGGGUCGUCCGCCUCAUGAGGCGGAGAAGUAGGAGGAGGCGUUUCGCUCUCCAUCAUCUCUGGAAGAAGAUCCCCCGAGGACGAACAUUGUUGAGGGAGGCUAUAAGCCGAACUGCAAAACAUAUGUCUCGGUCGUUAUUCUCAGGAAAAGAAUGGGGUAUGCUUACUAAGCGCCUUUGUUCACUUACGGCUCGGUUAAUAGCUGGCGCCCCUGUGGCCGCUGUGCGGCAAUGUUGCCCUCCGGGGCAGGGCCCCCUGAUGAAGGUUUCUUCCCUCGUUUGGAGACCUCUGUUUCCAAGUCUUCGGGGGCGGUCCUUUUCUUCUCGUGGGGAGAAGGGAUGCUAGAUUCUCCUCCCCGUUCAUCAUCCGAUACGGGGGUAGUAAUUUCCCCAGUUAGGAUGCGUAACGUACCUCCAGCAUGAAGUCCGCUUUUGGCUUCCCCAUUCCUCUCCUUGUCUUCCCCUGAUCGCACUUGAUAAGGUGCGCGAGCCAACAUCCUGGUUAAUACAGGAUCCGGCGAAUCUUCGGGAAGAGGGGCUGAACACCUGAUCCUCUCCGCCUUUCUUAUCCAGCCCUGGCCGAGGAUGGUUUUUCAGAAUAAUGCUGUGACAAAUAUAAUGACAACAUGUUCGGUCGUAGAAUUACUUACCUGGGUGUCUGGAUGGUUGCAAUCGAGGCAUGCAUCCUUUGUUGUGUCCGGACACUUUACUCGUGAUCCGAAGAAUAAUUGAUACAUCCCUUCGAGCGUCACGCCGAAGAAGUGCUGAAUAGUUCGCGGUCCUUCCGGGUUGAACUCCCACAUACGGAGAGAUUGACGUUGGCAUGGCAGGACCCGACGAACUAGCAUUACUUGGAUUACUUUGACAAGGCUGAUAUCCUUCUUGAUAAGAUCAUGAAUGCAGCUUUGCAAUGUCCGCACGUCAUCAACCGAUCCCCAGUCCAGCCCCUUGUUGACCCAUGAGGCAAGCUGUGGCGGAGGAGCGGAGCGGAAGGCUGGGGCGGCUGCCCACUUUCUGCCUCGGGGUGCUAUGAUGUAAAACCACUCCCAUUGCCAUAGGUCAGAAACUUCCGGGAAGGAACCCUUUGGCCAUACAGCAUCGACACCUUUGCUUAUUAUAGCGCCUCCGCACUCCGCGUGUCGCCCGUUGAUCAUCUUGGGCUUCACAUUGAAGGUCUAUAGCCAUAAGCCGAAGUGUGGGGUAAUGCGGAGGAAGGCCUCACACACAAUCAUGAAUGUUGAGAUGUGAAGGAAGGAAUCUGGAGCUAGAUCAUGAAAAUCUAGCCCAUAAUAGAACAUGAGCCCUCUAACAAAUGGAUGAAGACCGAAGCCUAGCCCUCGGAGGAAGUGGGAGAUGAAUACGACACUUUCAUUGGGUUUAUGAGUAGGAAUAACCUGCCCUUGAGCAGGAAGCUUGUGAAGGAUUUCGGCGGUCAAGUACCUAGCUUCCCUAAGCUUCUGUUGAUGUCCUCCUCUGUGACGGAAGAGGCCAUCCACCGGCCUUGAAGGUUGGAUCCGGACAUGGUUGAAUGUCCGGAGCACUUGGACUGAACCUUGGGUGUUGGAACUCAGGGUGAGGGAAGGGAAGGAUCAGGCGUGGAAAGAAAAGGAUAGGUCUUGACCUCUUUAUAAAGAGGAUGAAUGUCAAGCAUCCUCCGCGUGGCCGUUUGGCACUUGCCUAAACCAAGGAGUCGUACUAAUGGAGCGGUUGGGUGUUAAUGAGAAUCCCGUGAUAAGGGAGACUAGAUCUCUGCUUCGACAAGACGUGCCAAUAAAACCGCCUCGCAAGACGUGUAGUGGCAGGUUGAAAAAACGGUUUGAAUAAUAACCGGGCCGCGGCGUGAUGUCGCGCUAGGUAAAAGUUGUCAGCAGAUUAGACUCAUGGAAUAUUGUACUCUCUACGGUGGUACGUGGAAUUUGUUUUGCAGAGCCGGACACGAUUCUUGUGUUCAAGAUCUACUUUGGAGUAUUCGGAGAAGGAACCCGCCUUGCAAUGCCGAAGACAAUCUGCGUGUCAGACUCAUCGUCAUUGAAGCCUGGUUGAGGGGCUACUGAGGGAGUCCUGGAUUAGGGGUCCUCGGACAGCCGGACUAUAUGCUUAUGCCGGACUGUUGGACUAUGAAGAUACAAGAUUGAAGACUUCGUCCCGUGUCCGGGUGGGACUCUCCUUUGUGUGGAAGGCAAGCUUGGUAACUUGGAUAUGUAGAUUCCCUUCUUUGUAACCGACUCUGUGUAACCCUAGCCCCCUCCGGUGUCUAUAUAAACCGGAGGGUUUAGUCCGUAGGACAAGAACAAUCAUAAUCAUAGGCUAGCUUCUAGGGUUAGCCUCUACGAUCUUGUUGUAGAUCAACCCUUGUAAUACUCAUAUCAUCAAGAUCAAUCAAGCAGGAAGUAGGGUAUUACCUCCAUAGAGAGGGCCCGAACCUGGGUAAACAUUGUGUCCCCCGCCUCCUGUUACCAUUAGCCUUAGACGCACAGUUCGGGACCCCCUACCCGAGAUCUGCUGGUUUUGACACCGACAGUCGCCCUGUGGGAAAGCGAUCACCGGGUUGUCUCUGGAACUUGUCUCGGUGUGUUUUAUUAAGUAUCCGAUUCUAGUUGUCAUAACGUCAAGUUACAACUCCGGGUCGUCCUAUUACCGAGGGACACGGCUAUGCGAAUAGAUAAACUUCCCUGCAGGGGUGUACCACAUAACCCAACACGCUCGAUCCCCUUUGGCCGGACACACUUUCCUGGGUCAUGCCCGGCCUCGGAAGAUCAACAUGUCGCAGCCCCACCUAGGCACAACAGAGAGGUCAGCACGCCGAUCUAAAUCCUAUGCGCGCAGGGGUCUGGGCCCAUCGCCCAUUGCACACCUGCACGUUGCGAGGGCGGCCGGUGAGCAGACCUAGCAACCUCCAUUACAAAGGAAGUUGCGUUACGCGGUCCAACCCGGUGCGCAUCGCUCAGUCGCUGACGUCAAGAAGGCUUCGGCUGAUACCGUGCCCAUAAUUGUUCCCGCGUAGUUGGUUAGUGCGUAUAGGCCAGUGGCCAAACUCAGAUAAAAUACCAAGAUCUCGUUAAGCGUGUUAUUAUGAAGUAACCGCGAACGCCGACCAGGGCCAGGCCCACCUCUCGCCUAGGUGGUCUCAACCUGCCCUGUCGCUCUGAUACGUCCCCAACGUAUCUAUAAUUUUUGAUUGUUCCAUGCUAUUAUAUUACUUGUUUUGGAUGUUUAUGGGCUUUACUUUACACUUUUAUAUCAUUUUUGGGACUAACCUACUAAACGGAGGCCUAGCCCGUAUUGCUGUUUUUUUGCCUAUUUCAGUAUUUCAAAGAAAAGGAAUAUCAAACGGAGUCCAAACGGAAUGAAACCUUCGGGAGCGAUCUUUUUGGAACAAACGUGAUCUUGGACUGCAAUCGAGGCGGCCACGAGGGUGGAGGGCGCGCCCUCCCCUACUCGGCGCGCCCCCCUAUCUUGUGGGCCCCUCAGGCGUCCACCGACCUACUUCUUCCUCCUAUAUAUACCCAUGUACCCCGAAAAAAUCAGAAGCGCCCACGAAAAACUAUUUCCACCGCCGUAACCUUCUGUAUCCGCGAGAUCCCAUCUUGGAGCCUUCGCCAGCGCUUCGCCGGAGGGGGAAUCGAUCAUGGAGGGCUUCUACAUCAACACCAUAGCCCCUUCGAUGAGUUGUGAGUAGUUUACCACAGACCUUCGGGUCCAUAGUUAUUAGCAAGAUGGCUUCUUCUCGCUCUUUGAAUCUCAAUACAAAGUUCUCCUCGAUCUUCUUGGAGAUCUAUUCGAUGUAACUCUUUUUGCAGUGUGUUCGUCGAGAUCCGAUGAAUUGUGGGUUUAUGAUCAAGUUUAUCUAUGAGAAAUAUUUGAAUCUCCUCUGAAUUCUUUUAUGUGUGAUUAAGGUGUCUUUGCAAGUCUCUUCAAAUCAUCAGUUUGGUUUGGCCUACUAGAUUGAUCUUUCUUGCAAUGGGAGAAGUGCUUAGCUUUGGGUUCAAUCUUGCGGUGUCCUUUCCCAGUGACAGCAGGGGUAGCAAGGCACGUAUUGUGUUGUUGCCAUCGAGGAUAAAAAGAUGGGGUUUAUAUCAUAUUGCAUGAGUUUAUCCCUCUACAUCAUGCCAUCUUUUUAAUGCGUUAGUCUGUUCUUUAUGAACUUAAUACUCUAGAUGCAUGCUGGAUAGCGGUCGAUGUGUGGAGUAAUAGUAGUAGAUGCAGAAUCGUUUCGGUCUACUUGUCACGGACGUGAUGCCUAUAUACAUGAUCAUGCCUAGAUAAUCUCAUAAUUAUUCGCUUUUCUAUCAAUUGCUCGACAGUAAUUUGUUCACCCACCGUAAUACUUAUGCUAUCUUGAGAGAAGCCACUAGUGAAACCUAUGGCCCCCGGGUCUAUAUUUUAUCAUGUAAGUUUGCCAUCUACUUUUAUUUGCAUCUUUACUUUUCCAAUCUAUAUCAUAAAAAUACCAAAAAUAUUUAUCUUAUCAUAUUAUAUCUAUCGGAUCUCACUUUCACAAGUGGCCGUGAAGGGAUUGACAACCCCUUUAUUGCGUUGGUUGCGAGUUCUUGUUUGUUUGUGUAGGUGCAUGGGACUUUGAGGAGCCUCCUACUGGAUUGAUACCUUGGUUCUCAAAAACUGAGGGAAAUACUUACGCUACUAUGGCCGUCGGGAACCCCGGCCCACCUCUACCGGGAUGGAGCGACCUGUCCUUUCGGGCCCCAUAUCCGAAUCACUUGCGGGUACUCAACAAGCCGACCCGACCACCAUCUGUAUUGUAUGUAUAUAUGUAUAGUAUAUACCCGUGAUCACCUCUCGAGUGAUCACGGCCCCAUAGUAUAACAAGGUAGACUGACAAGAAUGUAGGGCCACUGAUGAUAAACUAGCAUCCUAUACUAAGCAUUUAGGAUUGCGGGUAAGGUAUCAACAACUGUAGCAACAAUGACAGGCUAUGCAACAGAAUAUGAUUAACCGAACAGUAACAUGCUACACUACUCUAAUGCAAGCAGUAGAGAGAAGAAUAGGUGAUAUCUGGUGAUCAAGGGGGGGGGCUUGCCUGGUUGCUUUGGCAAGAAGGAGGGGUCGUCAACUCCGUAGUCGAACUGGGCAGCAACAGCGUCGGUCUCGUAGUCUACCGGAGAGAAGAGGGGGAAGAAACAAUAAAUACAAUGCAAACAUAAGCAUGAUGAUGCAUGACAUGACAAUGAGCGGUGCUAGGUGUGCCCUAACGCGGCAGUAGGUGGUACCGGCGCAGGAGGGAAACAUCUGGGAAAGUAUCCCCGGUGUUUCGCGUUUUCGGACAAAUGAACCGGAGGUGAAAUGUUGCAGGUUCGCUAUGCUAGGGACGCGUGGCUGACGAACGGGCUACGUAUUCGGAUUCGUCACGAAAUUCUGAGCAACUUUCAUGUUCAAAGUAUUUUCAUCUGAGUUAUGGAUUAUUUUAUUUUAUUUUUCAAAGUUUUAUUGAAUUCCUGAAAAUCCUGGAAUUUAUUUAAUUUCAAAAAAAUAAAUAGAUAAAUGCUAAGUGCACACAGAAGUGUAUAGUCAGCAGGUACAGUCAGUAGUUGACCAGUCAAGGUUGACUGGUCAACAGGAUCAAGUGAGCCCACAUGUCAUUGACUGGGGCAUCCCAGUCAGCAGUUGACUUGGUCAACGGGGCCCAGUGGGACCCAGCAAUCAAUGACUCAAAUAGUUAACAGAAGGUUAGGUCGAUCUAUUAAAGUAAUUAGCAGGUGGGGCCCGGCCGUCAGUGGAUCAUUUUUUAACAGAGUUUUAUUUAACCAAACUAAUUAAUUAGCUAGGUGGCCCCACAUUUUAGUGGCUAUUAGGGUGCCGGUUAGUGCUAAUUAGCGUUUAGGUCCUAAUUAAUUAGGACGGGCCCACACGUCAGUGAGCCAGUCCGUUGGUUUAAGCACGAAUGUGUGUGUCAUGCACGCCGGUGAGGCACAUAGGCGGCGGAGGUGCUCGGGAGCACAGCUCCGGCGACGGCCUGGCGUGCGGGAGGACACGAUAUAGGACGCGCGGGGUAGGGGGUCAGCGGGCGACCAGCGGGCGCCGCGCAGGCGCUCCGCGCGACGGCAGCAGCGAGUAGCAGGGGGGCACGGGGCGAGGAGGAGGGCGCGGCUGGGUGAGGCACAACACGGUUGCGGGCGUCGCCGGGUGCAGCUAGGAGGUCAGGAGCGGCCGGAGUGCGAGCUCAGGCGCGAGACGGCGGGGUUUGGCCGACGCGGGCGCGUGGCCAGGUCGCCGGUGCGGGCGGUGGCCACGGUGGGGGGCGUGAGCGGCACGGCGGGGCAAGACGCGGUGACCCCAAGAAAGAGGAGGCAGAGGGGUUGUGGCUCACGUGCGGUGCCGGGGUUCGAGGGCGGCGAGGCCUGGUGUAGGCCGACGAGGGAGAGUCGGGGAGGGCAGUCUGGCGGGGAGGUCCGGCGAGGUUGCGUCGGGGAUCGGCCAAGGUGCGGAUCCAGAUCGGGAUGAUGGGGAUUCGGCGGAGAGANNNNNNNNNNNNNNNNNNNNNNNNNNNNNNNNNNNNNNNNNNNNNNNNNNNNNNNNNNNNNNNNNNNNNNNNNNNNNNNNNNNNNNNNNNNNNNNNNNNNNNNNNNNNNNNNNNNNNNNNNNNNNNNNNNNNNNNNNNNNNNNNNNNNNNNNNNNNNNNNNNNNNNNNNNNNNNNNNNNNNNNNNNNNNNNNNNNNNNNNNNNNNNNNNNNNNNNNNNNNNNNNNNNNNNNNNNNNNNNNNNNNNNNNNNNNNNNNNNNNNNNNNNNNNNNNNNNNNNNNNNNNNNNNNNNNNNNNNNNNNNNNNNNNNNNNNNNNNNNNNNNNNNNNNNNNNNNNNNNNNNNNNNNNNNNNNNNNNNNNNNNNNNNNNNNNNNNNNNNNNNNNNNNNNNNNNNNNNNNNNNNNNNNNNNNNNNNNNNNNNNNNNNNNNNNNNNNNNNNNNNNNNNNNNNNNNNNNNNNNNNNCGGGCGCAGUGCGGCGCAGCGGCGACGAGCGACGGGGCGCAGCAGGGGCGACGGGGGCAGCGCCCCGAUCCAGAUCCAGAGAGGGGGAUUGUGGGGAACAAGAGAGGGAGCGAGUGGGGAGUGGGGGUUGCGGAGCGGUUAGGGUUUCGGGGGGGAUAAGGGGAGUGAGGGGGCAGCCGGUUGGGCCAGUGGGUCGGCCAGCUAGGCCGUCUGGCCUAGUUGGCCUGGGGGCCUCUUCUUUUUAUUUUUAUUUCGUAGUUUUGUUUUCUGUUUUUAUUCUUUUCCUUUUUCUUUAUUUUCUCUAUUGUUUUAAUUCAUUUUCAAUUAUUUAGACAUCCUGUAAAAACGUGGUUCCUUCACCAUAAAUACCUAGGCAUUAAUUGGCACACUCCAAACAUUUUACUUUAAUGUUUGAAAUUUUUUGAUGUUUGACGAAAAUUCAAAUUUGACUUUGAACAGUUUUGAUCCAACAUGGGAUUAGCAACAGUAAUCGAGGUGACAUGGCUUCAUUAGCAGAGGUUUACUGUAGCUUGAUUAUCCAGGCGUCACAAUUCUCCUCCACUACAAGAAAUCUCGUCCCGAGAAUUAAGAGGGGUGUAAGGGGGAAAGUUCUAGUUACAAAAUCCUAAUGGAUCUUCUCGUCUUUGGUUGCUCUUCUCAAAGAGGUCGAUCCAUUACAUUGAUGUCUUCAUUACUCUGCUUCUGGUCAUCAUGAUGAAGUCGACAUCCUUUCUUCGGGAACUCUAUCGUACUUACGAAAGAAUAAAGGGGCAUUCCGGGAGAGCGGACCUCUGCAAGGUCGACUAUCUGGUCGAUAACAUCGAGGAAGGUGGCGAAAGUAUCUCUCGAAUUGAAAUUUAAGAAAAUACCGAGAGCAAAGUAAGGAGGUAUCAUGGGAAGUUUCAAGCGGAUAGACAACCAUUCGUUGCCUGAAACAUGGCGUGAAAGGGGUUCAAAGCAACGGGAAUAAGUAAUGUGUAUGGUACCAGAAUAGAUGAUCUCUCGGAAAGUGACUCAUGAAUUUCAUACGAGGCCAUGCGCGAGGAAUAACCUUGGGAACAGGGAGUGUACAGGAGAGUCAGGUUUCGAUCCUGUGGAACUGUGGGUUAUGGGCCCACCAUGUGGGUUAAAAGUAGGAAGGCGGUGACCACUUGCACGAUCAUGUAAGCAAGGCAUGCCAGAGGAUAGCCUGUCAGUUAUGUCGGCAACAACAUCGGUACCAAGGGCGAGGGACGAAGAGAACCAUUCUCUUGUUCGUUGAACGAGGCAGACCAAUUGGCAAAGUUCUCACUCAUCGGUGGUUACUGGAAUGUCAUCAACAAUAGUAACAGGGUCUUACAGACAGAGUGGUACAACAAGGUGCCUACCUAAGAAGGGAACUAUCUCUGCUCAGUUAAGUCAGAUUCAGGAAAGGUUAAACAAAAGAAUGGAAAGGAAAACGCGACUAUCAGAUUAAACAGAACAAUGGAAAGGAAAAUUGUGAUUACACACAAUUAUUAGGAGUAUAUCCUUCCCAUGGACAAGGAGAACAUGGCAUACAGGGUAGGAGAGCAAGUACCCAAACAUUCAGAUAAGAGGCAAGGAUUAAUCAAGAUGUUACCCAUACAACGGUGUUUGGAUAACUGACCAGGAAACAUUUAGUAUCGCGCCUCCAAUGUUCUUGUUGAUGGGCGGGGUAUCAUAGUCAGGCUUCGAGGUAGCAAUGAUAUGGUGUUCCAAUCAAGGUCCAGACUCUGGAUACAAAAAUGAUCCAUCAGGAGCAACUUAUAAAUUAAGUCUUACAAUUUCCUUCAGGAAGAAUGGUUAUCCUUGCAAAAGAAAUAUUAAUGAUAGGUCCUCCAGCCAGGGGUGCUAGGCAUGACAUAAUAUUAUCGGGUCAUCAAAGUACCAACAUCAUAACUCCUGGAAAGUUGUCCCAACCAUCAUAUCUAACCGAGAUUCAGAUCCAAUUGGUGUCAUGAUACCUCAGAAUCAGGAUGUCCGAGAAGAAAAGGUGCGACACAAAUCGGCGAAAUGACAUUGCAAGAUUCUCGGGAAAUGAACUAUGAGAGCGGGUUCCUGAAACAAUAGUUCAUCAUUAAACCAAGGUGGGGAUGUGGAGGUGCCUGAUGGGCUCAGCGACAAUUCCUCGAGAAUUCCAAACGGAUGGAUUUCCAAAAUAAUGUGAACAAGAAGAUGACACUUGUCAAUUCAAAUGAUAUAAUGUUGUAUGCCCGAGGAAAACAUACACCGUCAAUCAUUAGUUGAAAGGUGUGCCUGAAAUAUGACCUUAGGCAGCAAGAUCAAUGUUAGAGUGACGAUUCAAUAACCAACAGUCUAAGGAAGAACUGUCGAUCGUUAAAUUCAAAGCAAUAGGGUUGCUAGAAGUACAGAACUCAAGCAGCAUCGUUAGUAUAUUGGUAUCCCGGUUAAAAACAACACGCGGACCAAGGAAGAAUGGUGAUGGUGAGAAGUAUCAUCAUACCGAGAAUUUCUAAGAGGUGGAGCAAUCCCCACAACAUUCUCGACAUAAAAGACAGUAAUACUUCAAGGCAGAAUACAACACUAGUUGGAGAGCAAGUUGUAUUCAUAAUGUGGACAAGUUCGCGAUGAAAGGAAGUCAAGGGUGUUGUCGAUGAUAAUAAAAAUCAUCGAGGGCAAGGAGGGUAUUUCUCAUCAUGAACACAGUUGACAUCUCAGAAGAAGUCAAAGUGUUGAAGGUGAUCCGACACAUUUGCCGAGAGGUUUCAAGAGGAUGCAAUCAAACAACAACGACAACAAGCAAGGAAAUGAUGAAGUGGCAAGUUAUAGGAUCAAUAUAUAAGAUGCAAGCUCGGAACCAAAGUUUCCUUUCAAGACAAGCAACAAGAUGUUGAAAGCUCGACGUGAGUCGUGCUCACACACUGAAGAAUUCGUGCACCAGAGAAGGACGAGGUAGCACAGUUAAAGAUAGGAAGACCAGGAUGCAGCCGAUAGUUUAGGAAUGACCAGAUUGGGUUCAAAAUUUCCCAGUAAAAAUACUAGAGGUAUUUGAUUUGUAGUGCGGAAUAAUUUCACUAGUCGGUGUCCUCGGUUGAUAACAACCCAGAACCCGUAGAGUGAUUACGACAAGGAAAGACAUUACUUCAAAAAAGUUAGUAAGAUGUGGCGCAAUGGCCAGACCCCUCCGAGAUACCAGGGGGUAAUACUCGAAGGUAGAACAUGAUAGAAGUAGAACCGGGUCAUUGACCUAUGACAGUAGAUACUUCAACCUUGCCAAAAAUAAAUGAGGCACUGGAAUGAAUUCCCAUCAGAUAUAUUAAAUCAGGACAGAAUGGUCAGAACCAUAACUGUAAGGAAUCAAUUUCAAGAAUACCAAAAGAAUCAUACAUCUGGAUAAUCAUUUCGCAAGAAGCUUCCAAGACGGUCUACAUCAUUUUCAUGGGCAUGAACACCAAGUUCAAGGUUAACUCCUGUCGGUGGAAAAUGACACCUAUGGGACCAACGAGGAUCCCUACUAUGGUUGCGGGGCGCUGGAAGUGGUGAGGAGAGCAGGAUCAACAGUCAGUGCAAACACGCGGCUCGUUUACCCAGGUUCGGGCCGCAAGGUGCGUAAUACCCUAGUCCUGCUUGGAUGUGUAUAUCUGUGUUCUUGAGGAGCUCGAACUAGCUACAGGGAGCAUAACUUCUCCAAGAGUCUGAAUCCUUCUCCUGGAUGCCUUGGGUCUCCUUUUAUAGGCAAAGGGAUCGCCACAGUGGCACCAGGAGGUGGCAUGGGGGUACUGUGGCUAUGCUUAUCGCUAGUCAUUACGGGACAAAACGCAUUAAAUGCGCCCCCGACGUGUCCUCCUUACUUUACCGCCACUCCGCCUCGUCCUGACACGCGCCUGGGCCAGCGAGGUGGUGGCGCCAUGUAGUCAGGCAAGCAGCCGAGGUGGCGCGGUGGUGGAGCCUUCAGGGAGGUUUGCAUGCCACCACGUAGGUACGUGCUGAGUUGGCGGAGGAGCCCCGCGUUGACACGCAGGUUCCUGCCCGGCUGGUGGGCUGGCAGCUGCAUGGGAUUGGCGGUGCAAAGCUUGGCGGGUGCGGGCUUAGCUGUGGCCUCGCGGACGUCCUCGGCAAGGGCCUUGCCGGGGCCCCUGGCAAGGGUCUUGUCGCGGCGUACGGUCGUCCCCGGCAAGGAUCUUGCCGGGGGCCUUGUGGAUUCCCUCGGCAAGGAUUUUGCCGAGGCUCGUCGUACCUCACUCUUCUGAUUAAGAGUGUUGUUCUUUGUCUUCACAAAGAUCUGCAUGCCACCAUGGAGGUGCCUCCCGAGCCCUGGCCCAACGCAGUUGAUGGCGUUGGAAGCCGUAGGCUCAAGGGUGGCUCGCUCCGUUGGUGUUGGGGCGAGCUGCCCCGGCAAGAGUCUUGACGGGGCCGCAGAGGCCUCCCCGGCAAGGAUCUUGCCGGGGGAACCUACUUCGUCCCUCUGCUCUCUGUGAUCUUGGUUUUGGCGUUGCCUUGCUGGUCUUGAAUUCACCUUGGUUCACCUCGCCUGCCUUGCCAAGCGCGGCCAUGGCGCGUGGCUUCGACUGCCCGUGCACAAGUAAAGGGGUCAAAAGGAGAGCCCCUACUUCUGUACACCGACAGGAGCCCCCGGGCCUGGGCCACACAUAGCGCAACACGUUGUUGGGCCAAGCCCAAAAUGGUGCGCGGGCAGGCGGGGCGGUUUUUACCAUGGUAACUUCCUGUCCACUGCUCUUCCCCACGAUCCGCGUUGAAUCGUGCGUCGUGGAGGAGCACGCGUGACGUGGGGGGCAUGCGUGGGACGGUUCCUGCACGCACGCGUCACGUCGUAGUUAAUGGGAAAGGAGGCGACCCGCGCCUUCCCCGUAAAAAGGAAUAACCGCGGGCGCGCUGCUCACUUUACCCCCUCCGCGUUCUCUUCCAAUCUCAGAGCCGCCGCCUCCUUCUCCUCCCCCCUAAGCUUCGUCCAUCACCACCGCGCCUCCGCCAUCUUCCGCCCUCUUGUUCCUCGCAGCUGCUAUGGCGCCCAAAUCCACUAGAGGCAAAGGAGCGGCCAAAGACGCUGGAGUGGCGGAGCAGCCGGAGAGCGAGCUGGUGGCGCGACGGGCGCAGUUCGCCUACUUCCACCCUUCGACGGUCGGUGUGCCUGAGCUCCGGGAGUUCUUCAAGGCCAUGUGGGGAGUGAAGAUGGGAGGAGCAACGACGGGGCAUCCAGCUACGUGCGUCGUUCCGGCCUGCCCCGAACCGGUACCCCUUCUUCGUCGACUAUUUUUCCUGCGGGCUAUGUCCUCCCUUCUCUGAUUUCUUCAAAGACAUCAUGCACACCUAUGGUUUCCGCCUUCUGGAUUUCACUCCGAAUGCCGUGGCGUGCAUGGCUCUCUUCGCGCACCUCUGCGAGGGUUUCGCCGGGGUGCACCCCAGCACGGCACUUUUUCGCCAUUACUUCACCCCUCGGAUCCAAAAGGGCGGCGACAUUGCUGGUUGUGUCGCCUGGAUCUCGAGGUCCAAGGGGGCGUACCCGAACGGCGCCACGAAGGAGAGGUGGGCAAAAUGGCGGGGCCGGUGGUGCUGGAUCGAGGAGGAGAACCCGCCGGCCUUUUGCUGGGUCCGCGACGCGCCGCUGGUUCGAGGAAACGAGUGGAGCGACCUCGACGCCGAUGACGCGAAGCUCAGGGUCGCCACCACAAGGAUUCUUCGGCUUACCCAGGCCGGGCUCACCCUUGAGAUUAUCGGGGCGGACUUCUUCCGCCGCCGAAUCACUCCUCUGCACGACAAGGGGAGGCCGCCCUGGCUUUACACGAAUGCUGCUGACAUCAUGAGGCUUCGUCCUGGCCGCGAUCACAACCUGACGGUGCUGAAGCAUGCCCAUCUCUGCCAGUGGCUCUUCCAGCUCGAGGUCAACGACGAGGGCGAGGUCGAGCGGUCCGGCAAGGCCGCGAGGGACGCAGCGAAGGCAGGCAAGGUCGCCAAGGAGCCUGUCUUUAAGUUGGCGGCGGGGGUGGUCCUGCUGUGCAACAAUUCCCGCCGGUCCGAGAUCAUCACCAUGAUGCCGGAUUUCAACGCGCACGGCCUCGACCCGAACUGAGUCGAUCCGGACGAGCUCCAAGUGCAAGAAUUCUUUGAUACCUUGCAUGAGAGGUAUGUCACCGCCGAGCCACGGCUCAUCCAGGACACCUCCCCGGCGGAGCUGGACUAUAUUGCCGCCAGGGUGGCGGAGGCGAAACUCACCGCGGAAGAGGCGAAGCUUGCCGAGGAGGCCAGCAGCGCCGGCGGCAUGGAAGAUAAGGACGCAACAGUCGUGGAGGAGGAGGAGCUGGCCAGGUGGGCGGAGGCCGCCGGGGAGGCCAGCGGCGCCGGCACCGGGGCUCCUUUUGUUCAAGAGGCGGCCGAUGAGUCGUCGGAGGAGGAAGAGGCCGGGGCUGUCGACCCUCCGGCCUCAGGGAGGAGGCGCAUCUUGCGCCGGGCCACUUCUGGUGAUUCGGCACGCCCCGGGAAGGCCGCGCGGCGGUCCAGAUCUCCGGUGGAGUCUGCGCGUGAGGCGAGAGUGGCGGCGGCAAAGAAAUUGGUGAAGGCCGCGGUGGCGACGAAGAAGGCAUCUGCUUCCUCUUCGUCCAAGCGCAUGCAGACCCCGCCUUCCUCUCCUCCUCCGGCGAGCACCGGCGUGAGGGCCGACUUCGACUUCGGAUCCCUCAGCCCGCCGAGGAAGAGGAAAGCAGCAGAGGAGGAGGUGGACGAUGAGUAAGCAUCCUGAUCUCCUGCCAUCCCCGUCCCCCCAAUUUGUACCGUUUGUCUUGACUUGUCUUCGUCUUUGCAGGGACGUGGACACGCUGGCCCAGCGAAUAAAGAGGACCAAAGCCUCGGCGGGCGGCCAGCCCCCGGCUGGUACUUCAGGGGCGCCACUAGUGGUGUUGAGCAGCCCGGACAGCAGCCCCCGGCACAGCCCCCAGCGUAAGUUCACUACUCUCCCCUUGUCGACAUGUGUUAGGGAUAUGACACUCUGGUGCUGACCUUGCCGGAUGCGUAGGAGGAGAGCGGCAGCAGGAGGAGCCACAAAGGGCUACUCCCAACACGCCGCCCCUGUCGACUACGCCGCCCCGAGGGGCAUCUCCGGCAAGGGCGCCAAGCGCCGAGCCCACGCACAUGGAGUAGAAGGAGGAGAACUUGGGCGCUGGUGGCUUCGCCUCGACGCCAAAUGUUGGUGGGGAGGGGACUUCUGAUUCCCGGCCUGGCACUGGUAAUCUGCUGGCCCGUCGUCCCUGCUUUUCCCUUUCUUUUCGAAAUCUUGACCUUGGCUUUACCCCCGCCCCCUUCGUGAUAUCCAGAUCCUCUCCCAACGGAUCGAGAGGACCCGGACACCGACAUCGAGGACGUGGCCAAGGAUGCCGCGGAGGAGGCCGAGAAGACCGCCGCCGAGGAGGCUGCCAGGGGCGCUGCUGAGGAUGCCGCAGGGGGGCCUGCCGGGGAGGCCUAUAAGGCCGCCGCCGAGGAGAUUGGCAAGGGGCCUGCCGGGGAGGCCGAUAAGGCCACCGCCGAGGAGAUCGGCAAGGGGCCUCCUGGGGAGGCCAGCGAGGCUGCCACCGACGAGACCGGCAAGGGACCCGCCGGGGAGGCCAGCGCGGCCGCUGCCGAGGAGGAGGAGGUGGCUGAUGACCAGCCUUCUUCCUCUGCUGACCCCGGCUCUAGGAAUUACCUGAGGGUGGGUGACAACUUGUUCGUCAACCUCUGAGGCGCGUCGAGCACCAGGGCACCCGCCGAGGGGGAGGUUUUUGACGGCGAAGUGCUUGCCGCCGCCGGGCUUGAGGUCGUCGAUGAGCCGAGCGUCGGUGGCGGCAGCCCCCAGGAGGAGCAGCUGCUCGAGGCCAUGGGCACCAGCUACCGGAAGCUCCAGCCACUCCAGCGUGCUCGCUUUGACAAGGUCAAGUCCUGGGUGGCGGUAGUGGACAAGGCGGAGGCAGACCUCCAGAAGCGCGUCGCUGAGACGCAGGACUGGUUCCGCCAGGCUCACGAGGAGCUGAGGGCCGCCCAGGGUGAGCUGGCCAAGCGUGAUGUGGAGCUCACCAUGAAGCUGGCCGACGUCAAAAAGGCCCAAGAGACGGCGAAGAACCUGGCCGCCGCCGCCGAAGCCACUCGGACUCAGCACGAGGCCGCACUAAACUUCCAGGAAGAGGACCUUGCCGCGCGCGAGGAGAGGCUCACCGCCACGCUUCGCAGCAAGGAUGAAGAGGUUGAGAAGCUUGUCGCACAACGGACCCAAGAGCUGGAGCAGAGGCACAAAGAGGCACUCGAUGCCCAGGCUCUGGUUCACGCCGGCAAGGUGGAGGAGCUGGAGACGGAGCGGGAUGGGCUGAAGGGGCAGGUCCUGAAGCUGUCCCAGGAGAAGGAUACGCUCAACGACGCCUUGAUGGAGGCGCAGGGCGCGGCCAUCAGCAGGGCCGGGGAGCUCUCCGAGGCCACCCAAACCAUCAAAGACCUCACGCUGAAGCUGGAGAGCCUCGAGGGGAUGCUCACGGAGGCCAGAGCCUGGGAGGGGACCCUGACCAAGGAGCUGGAGACCGAGAAGCAGCUGCGGAAGGACGAGGCCGCCACCCACAAGGAUUUCGUGGAUGGUCAGAACCGCUGGAUCGGCCGCCUCGAGGACGUCACCGGAAGUAUCACCACGCAGCUGGCUACCAUGGGGAUGCCAAAUGUGAGGUACGCCCCAGAGCGAAGCAGGACCACCAACGCCAAGCUGACCCUGUUCUUUGAGGUGGUUCUCGGGGCCUUGGAGCAAUUCAGGUCCAGCCGGGCAAGUACCUUGGCCGACGAGUCCCGGCGAAUGUGCCUGGGCGCCAUGACCAAGGUCCUCACCAAGCUGGCCUUCUGGUACCCUGAUCUUGACUGCAACGCCGCGGUGGACAGCUUGCCGGACGACGCGGACCUCUCUGUUGGGGAACGUAGUAAUUUCAAAAAAAUUCCUACGCACAUGCAAGAUCAUGGUGAUGCAUAGCAAUGAGAGGGGAGAGUGUUGUCCACGUACCCUCGUAGACCGAAAGCAGAAGCGUUAACACAACGCGGUUGAUGUAGUCGUACGUCUUCACGAUCCGACCGAUCAAGUACCGAACGCACGGCACCUCUGAGUUCAACACACGUUCAUCUCGAUGACGUCCCUCGAACUCCGAUCCAGCCGAGUGUUGAGGGAGAGUUUCGUCAGCACGACGGUGUGGUGACGAUGAUGAUGUUCUACCGACGCAGGGCUUCGCCUAAGCUCCGCAACGAUAUUAUCGAGGUGUAAUAUGGUGGAGGGGGGCACCGCACACGGCUAAAAUAUCGUAUAUCAAUUGUGUGUUCAGAGGUGCCCCCCUGCCCCCGUAUAUAAAGGAGCAAGGGGGAGGCCGGCUGGCCCUUGGGGCGCGCUAAGGAGGGGGGAGUCCUCCUCCUAGUAGGAGUAGGACUCCCCUUUCCUAGUCCAACUAGGAAGAGAGAAGGGGGAAGGAAAGAGAGGGAGAGGGAGAGGGAAAGAGGGGCUGCGCCCCCCUCCCCUAGUCCAGUUCAGACUCCUCAUGGGAGGGGGCGCGCCACCUCCUGGGCUGCUGCCCUCUCUCUCCCCUCAGGCCCACUAAGGCCCAAUACUUCCCCGGGGGGUUCCGGUAACCCCUCCGGCACUCCGGUUUUAUCCGAAACUUCUCCGGAACACUUCCGGUGUCCGAAUAUACUCAUCCAAUAUAUCAAUCUUUAUGUCUCGACCAUUUCGAGACUCCUCGUCAUGUCCGUGAUCACAUCCGGGACUCCGAAAAACCUUCGGUACAUCAAAACAUAUAAACUCAUAAUAUAACUGUCAUCGUAACUUUAAGCGUGCGGACCCUACGGGUUCGAGAACUAUGUAGACAUGACCGAGACACCUCUCCGGUCAAUAACUAAUAGCGGAACCUGGAUGCUCAUAUUGGUUCCUACAUAUUCUACGAAGAUCUUUAUCCGUCAGACCGCAUAACAACAUACGUUGUUCCCUUUGUCAUCGGUAUGUUACUUGCCCGAGAUUCGAUCGUCGGUAUCUCGAUACCUAGUUCAAUCUCGUUACCGGCAAGUCUCUUUACUCGUUCCGUAAUACAUCAUCCCGCAACUAACUCAUUAGUCACAAUGCUUGCAAGGCUUAUAGUGAUGUGCAUUACCGAGUGGGCCCAGAGAUACCUCUCUGACAAUCGGAGUGACAAAUCCUAAUCUCGAAAUACGCCAACCCAACAAGUACCUUUGGAGACACCUGUAGAGCACCUUUAUAAUCACCCAGGUACGUUGUGACGUUUGGUAGCACACAAAGUGUUCCUCCGGUAAACGGGAGUUGCAUAAUCUCAUAGUCAUAGGAACAUGUAUAAGUCAUGAAGAAAGCAAUAGCAACAUAUUAAACGAUUGGGUGCUAAGCUAACGGAAUGGGUCGAGUCAAUCACAUCAUUAUCCUAAUGAGGUGAUCCCGUUAAUCAAAUGACAACUCAUGUCUAUGGCUAGGAAACAUAACCAUCUUUGAUUAACGAGCUAGUCAAGUAGAGGCAUACUAGUGACACUCUGUUUGUCUAUGUAUUCACACAUGUAUUAUGUUUCCGGUUAAUACAAUUCUAGCAUGAAGAAUAAAUAUUUAUCAUGAUAUAAGGAAAUAAAUAAUACUUUAUUAUUGCCUCUAGGGCAUAUUUCCUUCAGGCUCCCACUUGCACUAGAGUCAAUAAUCUAGAUUACACAGUAAUGAUUCUUACACCCAUGGAGUCUUGGUGCUGGUCAUGUUUUGCUCGUGGAAGAGGCUUAGUCAACGGGUCUGCAACAUUCAGAUCCGUAUGUAUCUUGCAAAUUUCUAUGUCUCCCACCUGGACUAAAUCCCGGAUGGAAUUGAAGCGUCUUUUGAUGUGCUUGGUUCUCUUGUGAAAUCUGGAUUCCUUUGCUAAGGCAAUUGCACUAGUAUUGUCACAAAAGAUUUUCAUUGGUCCCGAUGCACUAGGUAUGACACCUAGAUCGGAUAUGAACUCCUUCAUCCAGACUCCUUUAUUUGCUGCUUCCGAAGCAGCUAUGUACUCCGCUUCACACAUAGAUCCCGCCACGACACUUUGCUUAGAACUGCACCAACUGACAGCUCCACCGUUCGAUGUAAAUACGUAUCCGGUUUGCGAUUUAGAAUCGUCCGGAUCAGUGUCAAAGCUUGCAUCAACAUAACCACUUACGAUGAGCUCUUUGUCACCUCCAUAAACGAGAAACAUAUCCUUAGUCCUUUUCAGGUAUUUCAGGAUGUUCUUGACCGUUGUCCAGUGAUCCACUCCUGGAUUACUUUGGUACCUCCCUGCUAAACUUAUAGCAAGGCACACAUCAGGUCUGGUACACAGCAUUGCAUACAUGAUAGAGCCUAUGGCUGAAGCAUAGGGAACAUCUUUCAUCUUCUCUCUAUCUUCUGCAGUGGUCGGGCAUUGAGUCUUACUCAAUCUCACACCUUGUAGUGCAGGCAAGAACCCUUUCUUUGCUUGAUCCAUUUUGAACUUCUUCAAAACAUUAUCAAGGUAUGUGCUUUGUGAAAGUCCAAUUAAGCGUCUUGAUCUAUCUCUAUAGAUCUUAAUGCCUAAUAUAUAUGCAGCUUCACCGAGGUCUUUCAUUGAAAAACUCUUAUUCAAGUAUCCCUUUAUGCUAUCCAGAAAUUCUAUAUCAUUUCCAAUCAGCAAUAUGUCAUCCACAUAUAAUAUCAGAAAUGCUACUGAGCUGCCACUCACUUUCUUGUAAAUACAGGCUUCUCCAAAAGUCUGUAUAAAACCAAAUGCUUUGAUCACAAUAUCAAAGCGUUUAUUCCAACUCCGAGAGGCUUGCCCCAGUCCAUAAAUGGAUCGUUGGAGCUUGCACACUUUGUUAGCUCCCUUUGGAUCGACAAAACCUUCCGGUUGCAUCAUAUACAACUCUUCUUCCAAAAAUCCAUUCAGGAAUGCAGUUUUGACAUCCAUUUGCCAAAUUUCAUAAUCAUAAAAUGCGGCAAUUGCUAACAUGAUUCGGACAGACUUAAGCAUCGCUACGGGUGAGAAGGUCUCAUCGUAGUCAAUCCCUUGAACUUGUCGAAAUCCUUUCGCAACAAGUCGAGCUUUAUAGACAGUAACAUUACCGUCAGCGUCAGUCUUCUUCUUGAAGAUCCAUUUAUUUUCAAUGGCUUGCCAACCAUCGGGCAAGUCAACCAAAGUCCAUACUUUGUUCUCAUACAUGGAUCCCAUCUCGGAUUUCAUGGCUUCAAGCCAUUUUGCGGAAUCUGGGCUCACCAUCGCUUCUUCAUAGUUCGUAGGUUCGUCAUGGUAUAGUAACAUAACCUCCAGAACAGGACUACCGUACCACUCUGGUGCGGUUCUUGAUCUGGUUGACCUAGAAGGUUCAGUAAUAACUUGAUCUGAAGUUUCAUGAUCAUUAUCAUUAACUUCCCCACUAAUUGGUGUAGGUGUCGCAGAAACUGAUUUCUAUGAUGAUCUACUUUCCAAUAAGGGAGCAGGUACAGUUACCUCAUCAAGUUCUACUUUCCUCCCACUCACUUCUUUCGAGAGAAACUCCUUCUCUAGAAAGGAUCCAUUCUUAGCAACGAAUGUCUUGCCUUCGGAUCUGCGAUAGAAGGUGUACCCAACAGUCUCCUUUGGGUAUCCUAUGAAGACACAUUUCUCCGAUUUAGGUUCGAGCUUAUCAGGUUGAAGUUUCUUCACAUAAGCAUCGCAACCCCAAACUUUAAGAUACGACAACUUUGGUUUCUUGCCAAACCAUAGUUCAUAAGGUGUCGUUUCAACAGAUGUCGAUGGUGCCCUAUUUAGAGUGAAUGCAGCCGUCUCUAAAGCAUAACCCCAAAACGAUAGCGGUAAAUCAGUAAGAGACAUCAUAGAUCGCACCAUAUCUAGUAAAGUACGAUUACGACGUUCGGACACACCAUUAUGCUGUGGUGUUCCGGGUGGCGUGAGCUGCGAAACUAUUCCGCAUUGUUUCAAAUGUAGACCAAACUCGUAACUCAAAUAUUCUCCUCCACGAUCUGAUCGUAGAAACUUUAUUUUCUUGUUACGAUGAUUUUCAACUUCACUCUGAAAUUCUUUGAACUUUUCAAAUGUUUCAGACUUAUGUUUCAUUAAGUAGAUAUACCCAUAUCUGCUCAAAUCAUCUGUGAAGGUGAGAAAAUAACGAUAUCUGCCACGAGCCUCAAUAUUCAUCGGACCACAUACAUCUGUAUGUAUGAUUUCCAAUAAAUCUGUUGCUCUCUCCAUAGUUCCGGAGAACGGUGUUUUAGUCAUCUUGCCCAUGAGGCACGGUUCGCAAGUACCAAGUGAUUCAUAAUCAAGUGAUUCCAAAAGUCCAUCAGUAUGGAGUUUCUUCAUGCGCUUUACACCGAUAUGACCUAAACGGCAGUGCCACAAAUAAGUUGCACUAUCAUUAUCAACUCUGCAUCUUUUGGCUUCGACAUUAUGAAUAUGUGUGUCACUACUAUCGAGAUUCAUUAAAAAUAGACCACUCUUCAAGGGUGCAUGACCAUAAAAGAUAUUAUUCAUAUAAAUAGAACAACCAUUAUUCUCUGAUUUAAAUGAAUAACCGUCUCGCAUCAAACAAGAUCCAGAUAUAAUGUUCAUGCUUAACGCUGGCACCAAAUAACAAUUAUUUAGGUCUAAUACUAAUCCCGAAGGUAGAUGUAGAAGUAACGUGCCGACCACGAUCACAUCGACUUUGGAACCAUUUCCCACGCGCAUCGUCACCUCGUCCUUAGCCAAUCUUCACUUAAUCCGUGGCCCCUGUUUCGAGUUGCAAAUAUUAGCAACAGAACCAGUAUCAAAUACCCAGGUGCUACUGCGAGCAUUAGUAAGGUACACAUCAAUAACAUGUAUAUCACAUAUACCUUUGUUAAUCUUGCCAUCCUUCUUAUCUGCCAAAUACUUGGGGCAGUUCCGCUUCCAGUGACCAGUCUGCUUGCAGUAGAAGCACUCAGUUUCAGGCUUAGGUCCAGACUUGGGUUUCUUCUCCUGAACAGCAACUUGCUUGCUGUUCUUCUUGAAGUUCCCCUUCUUCUUCCCUUUGCCCUUUUUCUUGAAACUAGUGGUUUUACUAACCAUCAACACUUGAUGCUCCUUUUUGAUUUCUACCUCCGCUGCCUUUAGCAUUGCGAAGAGCUCGGGAAUUGUCUUAUUCAUCCCUUGCAUGUUAUAGUUCAUCACGAAGCUCUUGUAGCUUGGUGGCAGUGAUUGAAGAAUUCUGUCAAUGACGCUAUCAUCCGGAAGAUUAACUCCCAGUUGAAUCAAGUGAUUAUUAUACCCAGACAUUUUGAGUAUAUGCUCACUGACAGAACUAUUCUCUUCCAUCUUGCAGAUGUAGAACUUAUUGGAGACUUCAUAUCUCUCAAUCCGGGAAUUUGCUUGAAAUAUUAACUUCAACUCCUGGAACAUCUCAUAUGCUCCAUGACAUUCAAAACGUCGUUGAAGACCCGGUUCUAAGCCGUAAAGCAUGGCACACUGAACUAUCGAGUAGUCAUCAGCUUUGCUCUGCCAGACGUUCAUAACUUCUGGUGUUGCUCUUGUAGGAGGCCUGGCACCUAGCGGUGCUUCCAGGAUGUAAUUCUUCUGUGCAGCAAUGAGGAUAAUCCUCAAGUUACGGACCCAGUCCGUGUAAUUGCUACCAUCAUCUUUCAACUUUGCUUUCUCAAGGAACGCAUUAAAAUUCAACGGAACAACAGCACGGGCCAUUUAUCUACAAUUAACAUAGACAGGCAAGAUACUAUCAGGUACUAAGUUCAUGAUAAAUUCAAGUUCAAUUAAUCAUAUUACUUAAGAACUCCCACUUAGAUAGACAUCCCUCUAAUCAUCUAAGUGAUUACGUGAUCCAAAUCAACUAAACCAUGUCCGAUCAUCACGUGAGAUGGAGUAGUUUCAAUGGUGAACAUCACUAUGUUGAUCAUAUCUACUAUAUGAUUCACGCUCGACCUUUCGGUCUCCGUGUUCCGAGGCCUUAUCUGCAUAUGCUAGGCUCGACAAGUUUAACCUGAGUAUUCCGCGUGUGCAACUGUUUUGCACCCGUUGUAUUUGAACGUAGAGCCUAUCACACCCGAUCAUCACGUGGUGUCUCAGCACGAAGAACUUCCGCAACGGUGCAUACUCAGGGAGAACACUUUUAUCUUGAAAUUUUAGUGAGAGAUUAUCUUAUAAUGCUACCGUCAAUCAAAGCAAAAUAAGAUGCAUAAAAGAUUAACAUCACAUGCAAUCAAUAUAAGUGAUAUGAUAUGGCCAUCAUCAUCUUGUGCUUGUGAUCUCCAUCUCCGAAGCACCGUCAUGAUCACCAUCGUCACCGGCGCGACACCUUGAUCUCCAUCGUAGUAUCGUUGUCGUCUCGCCAACUUAUUGCUUUUACGACUAUCGCUACCGCUUAGUGAUAAAGUAAAACAAUUACAUGGCAAUUGCAUUGCAUACAAUAAAGCGACAACCAUAUGGCUCCUGCCAGUUGCCGAUAACUCGGUUACAAAACAUGAUCAUCUCAUACAAUAAAAUAUAGCAUCAUGUCUUGACCAUAUCACAUCACAACAUGCCCUGCAAAAACAAGUUAGACGUCCUCUACUUUGUUGUUGCAAGUUUUACAUGGCUGCUACGGGCUUAGCAAGAACCGUUCUUACCUACGCAUCAAAACCACAACGAUAGUUUGUCAAGUUGGUGCUGUUUUAACCUUCGCAAGGACCAGGCGUAGCCACACUCGGUUCAACUAAAGUGAGAGAGACAGACACCCGCCAGUCACCUUUAAGCAACGAGUGCUCGCAACGGUGAAACCAGUCUCGCGUAAGCGUACGCGUAAUGUCGGUCCGGGCCGCUUCAUUUCACAAUACCGCUGAACCAAAGUAUGACAUGCUGGUAAGCAGUAUGACUUAUAUCACCCACAACUCACUUGUGUUCUACUCGUGCAUAGCAUCAACGCAUAAAACCAGGCUCGGAUGCCACUGUUGGGGAACGUAGUAAUUUCAAAAAAAUUCCUACGCACACACAAGAUCAUGGUGAUGUAUAGCAACGAGAGGGGAGAGUGUUGUCCACGUACCCUCGUAGACCGAAAGCGGAAGCGUUAACACAACGCGGUUGAUGUAGUCGUACGUCUUCACCAUCCGACCGAUCAAGUACCAAACGCACGGCACCUCCGAGUUCGGCACAUGUUCAGCUCGAUGACGUCCCUCGAACUCUGAUCCAGCCAAGUGUUGAGGGAGAGUUUCGUCAGCACGGCGGCAUGGUGACGAUGAUGAUGUUCUACCGACGCAGGGCUUCGCCUAAGCUCCGCAACGAUAUUAUCGAGGUGUAAUAUGGUGGAGGGGGACACCGCACACGGCUAAAAUAUCGUAUAUCAAUUGUGUGUUCAGAGGUGCCCCCCUGCCCCCGUAUAUAAAGGAGCAAGGGGGAGGCUGGCUGGCCCUUGGGGCGCGCCAAGGAGGGGGGAAGUCCUCCUCCUAGUAGGAGUAGGACUCCCCUUUCCUAGUCCAACUAGGAAGAGAGAAGGGGUAAGGAAAGAGAGGGAGAGGGAGAGGGAAAGAGGGGCUGCGCCCCCCUCCCCUAGUCCAAUUCGGACUCCUCAUGGGAGGGGGCACGCCACCUCCUGGGCUGCUGCCCUCUCUCCCCUCAGGCCCACUAAGGCCCAAUACUUCCCCGGGGGCUUCCGGUAACCCCUCCGGCACUCCGGUUUUAUCCGAAACUUCUCCGGAACACUUCCGGUGUCCGAAUAUAGUCGUCCAAUAUAUCAAUAUUUAUGUCUCGACCAUUUCGAGACUCCUCGUCAUGUUCGUGAUCACAUCCGGGAGUCCGAACAACCUUCGGUACAUCAAAAUAUAUAAACUCAUAAUAUAACUGUCAUCGUAACUUUAAGCGUGCGGACCCUACGGGUUCGAGAACUAUGUAGACAUGACCGAGACACCUCUCCGGUCAAUAACCAAUAGCGGAACCUGGAUGCUCAUAUUGGUUCCUACAUAUUCUACGAAGAUCUUUAUCGAUCAGACCGCAUAACAACAUACGUUGUUCCCUUUGUCAUUGGUAUGCUACUUGCCCGAGAUUCGAUCGUCGGUAUCUCGAUACCUAGUUCAAUCUCGUUACCGGCAAGUCUCUUUACUCGUUCUAUAAUACAUCAUCCCACAACAAACUCAUUAGUCACAAUUCUUGCAAGGCUUAUAGUGAUGUGCAUUACUUAGUGGGCCCAGAGAUACCUCUCCGACAAUCGGAGUGACAAAUCCUAAUCUCGAAAUACGCCAACCCAACAAGUACCUUUGGAGACACCUGUAGAGCACCUUUAUAAUCACCCAGUUGCGUUGUGACGUUUGGUAGCACACAAAGUGUUCCUCCGGUAAACGGGAGUUGCAUAAUCUCAUACUCAUAGGAACGUGUAUAAGUCAUGAAGAAAGCAACAGCAACAUACUAAACGAUUGGGUGCUAAGCUAAUGGAAUGGGUCAAGUCAAUCACGUCAUUCUCCUAAUGAGGUGAUCCCGUUAAUCAAAUGACAACUCAUGUCUGUGGCUAGGAAACAUAACCAUCUUUGAUUAACGAGCUAGUCAAGUAGAGGCAUACUAGUGACACUCUGUUUGUCUAUGUAUUCACACAUGUAUUAUGUUUCUGGUUAAUACAAUUCUAGCAUGAAUAAUAAACAUUUAUCAUGAUAUAAGGAAAUAAAUAAUACUUUAUUAUUGCCUCUAGGGCAUGUUUCCUUCACUCUCUGGGAUCGAGGAGCGCAUCGAGCCCGUCACCCGCUGCGUCGGCGGAAUCCAGAGGGUGGAGGGCCAGCGCUGGGACUAGGUGCUCUGUUUUCUGUUGCCGCUGCGGGUUCAUGACCAAGACAAUUCAAUUCUUUAGCUAGAACCGCAGCAACGAUUUGAUGUAAUAUAACUCUGCAGUACUUUUGAUAUCAUGCAUAUUAUUUUCCCGUUCAAUUUCCCUGCAUAUGUCCACCCUACGUUAACUGGGGAGGCUUGCCGGCGCGUAAACCCAGGGUGGUGUUUUGGGGACGGAUCCCCAUUGGCCUGCCGAGUGCGCUUGCUGUCGGGCGAACCACCUUACCGCCCUUGACGUGGCCGCCCGACCUGUCGAGCUUGACUCGAGUCAGAAUCGGGAGCGCUGCCAAUUGCGGAAGGCUACCCUGCCACUUUCGACGCGGCUGCUUGAGCUGUUGAGCGGACUCGAAACAGAACAAGAGCGUUGCCAAUCGUGGAAGGGCCCCUUUGCGUGCAGGCUUCCAUACAUAGGGCAAAAUCUCAGGGACGAUAAUCUUAUAUUAAGAAGAAAAGUCUAAAGUUUUGAGUGACUUAGCUCUUUCGUUGCCGCGCUGGCGUCAUACGCGUUCACAGGUGGCGUCCUUUUCUUCUGGCCAUCUCCUUCUUGGGAACCAUGGCGAUGAAGAGUCGUGCUACUGGCUGUAGAACCAGAUGCUCACUACUGCGUUUCCCCCUACCUAGCGCGCCAAAGAUGUCGGUGGAAAACGACACCUAUGGGACCAACGAGGAUCCCUACUACGGUUGCGGGGCGCUGGAAGUGGUGAGGAGAGCAGGAUCAACUGUCAGUGCAAACAUGCGGGUCGUUUACCCAGGUUCGGGCCGCAGGGUGCGUAAUACCCUAGUCCUGCUUGGAUGUGUAUAUCUGUGUUCUUGAGGAGCUCGAACUAGCUACAGGGAGCGUAACUUGUCCAAGAGUCCGAAUCCUUCUCCUGGAUGCCUUGGGUCUCCUUUUAUAGGCAAAGGAAUUGCCACGGUGGCACCAGGAGGUGGCAUCGGGGGUACUGUGGCUAUGCUUAUCGCUAGUCAUUAUGGGACAAAACGCAUUAAAUGUGCCCCCGACAUGUCCUCCUUACUUUACCGCCGCUCCGCCUCAUCCUGACACGCGCUUGGGCUAGCGAGGUGGUGGCGCCAUGUAGUCAGGCAAGCAGUUGAGGUGGCGCGGUGGUGGAGCCUUCAGGGAGGUUUGCAUGCCACCACGUAGGUACGUGCUGAGUUGGCGGAGGAGCCCCGCGUUGACACGCAGGUGCCUGCCCGGCUGGUGGGCUGGCAGCUGCUUGGGAUUGGCGGUGCAAAGCUUGGCGGGUGCGGUCCUAGCUGUGGCCUCGCGGACGCCUCAGCAAGGGCCUUGUCGGGGCCCCCGGCAAGGGUCUUGUCGCAGCGUACGGUCGUCCCCGGCAAGGAUCUUGCCGGGGGCCUUGUGGAUUCCCUCGGCAAGGAUUUUGCCGAGGCUCGUCGUAUCUCACUCUUCUGAUUAAGAGUGUUGUUCUUUGUCUUCACGAAGAUCUGCAUGCCACCAUGGGGGUGCCUCCCGAGCUCUGGCCCAACGCAGUUGAUGGCGUUGGAAGCCGUAGGCUCAAGCUCCGUUGGUGUUGGGGCGAGCUGCCCUGGCAAGAGUCUUGCCGGGGCCGCAGAGGCCGCCCUGGCAAGGAUCUUGCCGGGGGAACCUGCUUCGUCUCUCUCCUCUCCGUGGUCUUGGUUUUGGCGUUGCCUUGCUGGUCUUGAAAUCACCAUGGUUCACCUGCCCUGCCUUGCCAAGCGCGGCCGUGGCGCGUGGCUUUGACUGCCCGUGCACAAGUAAAGGGGUCAAAAGGAGAGCCCCUACUUCUGUACACCGACAACUCCCACUUCUUUAAUGCAUAUCAUUUCAUUCACCUCUCGCUUUGAUAUAACUGUAGUGUUGGAAUUUUAUCUGGUAGAACACCAGAAGAGUAUGACUUGUGAAAACUUUCGGGUUCUCAUGGAUUAGGGGAAGGCAUAGGUUCAACCCAUCGGGCAUCUUAGUAACAUAUACCACAAGUUUCAAAAGUAAAUACACAAGCUCGAAAGCAGAGCAUGGUCGGCCAAGCAGAGGAUACAAUUUACCAAAGGCAUUAUGUAUCAGGGGAAGAACUCACAAGGUGAUUGAAUAUGAAGGAAACUGUCGGAUAAAAAUCCAACAAUGGAUCGGGCGAUCCACAAUGGAGCUGAUGUGAGUAUCGGUACUCACUCAGAGGAAGAAAGAAUGCGGAGGCAUCAGAUUCAAGAAUCACCUGAUUAGUCUGAUGCUUAAAUAGAAAGAAAUUAUGGUUUCCAAAACAAAGGAUUAGAAGUAGACGCUCUGAUCAAGGAUGGAUAAGUUGAAAACACUUAGUUGGAUAAUCAAUAAAGGUUUCCAUUGCCGAGAACCAACUCAUGUCCGGAAUGACGUCUGAGUCGGAAGGAUAAUUUUAAAAAGGAUAACCUGAUGACUGCGUGCAUAAGCACAUAUUGUAUCAAUAGGCUCAAAAUGACUAUGACAAGGGAUGUUAACGAGGACUACUAGUAAUAUGGGAUUAACCAUAAUGCAAGCAGACAAGAGUUUCAAGAGUAACAGGCUGCAGAGGUUUUUCGAAAGAUCGAAAAGUAUUCCGAAGAAUUAUGUGAGACACAUGAACAAUUGAGAAGAACGGAUCCUCGAUAAAUGUGAGAAAAAACCCGUAAGGGUUUUCAUGCGAAAUAAAACUGCAAGACAGUAAACUCAAAGGAUUCUUGGGACAAUCGGAGAAUAUCUCGAGGCAUCUUGUAACAACAAGAGCGAUGAGGAAUGAUCAAGAGAAUGACAAGUGCAUGCAGAUAUCCACAGGGAUAAGUCGGUGACAGUGAAUUGCAAAGGCGAUGAGCACAAGGGUCUCGGGAAAAUAUCGAGGGAUAUCCUCAGAAUCUUCUGACGAAGCAGGUGAUCUUCCGGAAUGAGGGCUCUUCGGGAGAAAUAGUUACGAGAACCUAGAGUUAGAGUUAGCAAAAUCAUUUAACCCGAAUAGAAGAGAGAUCAGAGUCCCAGAGUAUAGACGAGGAGUAAAAGAUCCUAAUACCACCCAAUGGCGACGUGGGCCCGUAAGCCACACAACCAUGUUAGUAAAAACUUUUUCAAUGACUAGACUCAACUUCAGCCAAGGAGUUUGGAAGGGGGAUUCCUACAGGCAGUCGGCUCUGAUACCAACUUGUGACGCCCCCGAUUCAAUCGUACACUAAUCAUCCACACAAAUGUGUACGAUCAAGAUCAGGGACUCACGGGAAGAUAUCACAACACAACUCUAAAAGUAAAAUAAGUCAUACAAACAUCAUAUUACAAGCCAGGGGCCUCGAGGGCUCGAAUACAAGUGCUCGAACAUAAAUGAGUCAGCGGAAGCAACAAUAUCUGAGUACAGACAUAAGUUAAACAAGUUGCCAUAAGAAGGCUAGCACAAACUGGGAUACAGAUUGAAAGAGGCGCAGGCCUCCUGCCUGGGAUCCUCCUAAACUACUCAUGGUCGUCGUCAGCGGCCUGCACGUAGUAGUAGCCACCUCCAGUGUAGUAGGAUUCAUCAUCGACGGUGGUGUCUGGAUCCUGGGCUCCAACGUCUGGUUGCGGCAUCCGAGAAGAAAAGGAAAGAGGGGGAAAAGAGGGAGCAAAGCAACCGUGAGUACUCAUCCAAAGUACUCGCAAGAAAGGAUCUACACUACAUAUGCAUCGGUAUAUGUGUAAAGAGGCAAUAUCGGUGGACUGAACUGCAGAAUGCCAGAAUAAGAGGGGGAUAGCUUGUCCUAUUGAAGACUACGCUUCUGGCAGCCUCCGUCUUGUAGCAUGUAGAAGAGAGUAGAUUGAAGUCCUCCAAGUAGCAUCGCAUAGCAUAAUCCUACCCGGCGAUCCUCCCCUCGUCGCCCUGUGGAAAAGCGAUCGCCGGGUUGUCUCUGGAACUUGUCUGGGUGUGUUUUAUUAAGUAGGUAACACCUAAUGCUGCUCUAACAAUUUGGACUAAGAAAUAACAAUGUAAUCCACUAAUGAUGCUCUGCUCUGCUCUUGUUAGGUAACACAUAAUGCUGCUCUGCUCUAGUUAGGACUCAUGUAAUCCACUAUAAUUAUCUGCUCUAGUUAGGACUAGCAAUUAGAGUGCUAAACAUGCAGGCAGUAAACCCUAACCCUAAUCCCCAAUUUCAGUUAGCAAGAAUGGAACAGUGGAGCACUUACAGAACACCACCGAAGCCAUGAGUCCAGUGAUGGGCGGUGCUAGGGUUGGCCACCCAAAUUCGCGCCAUCCGUAGCCUCUGCUCCAUCGACAACGCCGGCUCCACAAAAUCUUCGUCCUCGCUACUGUACUCCGAGCUGGAGUAGCCGCCACUGCCAUCGAGGCCUAAGCGGGGGAGGUUGCCACCGCUCGCAUCGCCCCGGCCCUCGCCGCCUGCCGGAGUCGCCGAGGCCAUCGUCUCCUAGGGCACAACAGCCACGGGGGAGAGGAGGGUGCGAGGGAGGAGCAGCCGCGGGGGAGGGGACAGCGCCUAAGUAGUUCGAUCCAUGGCUACGGCGACGUGGUGUGGCGGGCGGCGGGGUGGGCGGGGAGGCAGCCGCCGAUGAGGGUGCGGGGAGAAGGAAGAGGGCAGAAUGGGGUCGGGGUCGGGGUCUGGCUAGGUCGUACCAGCGAGGCCUAAACGGUGCGAGCCGGCCUCGUCCUAGUCAGUGCGCAGUCAGCGCGCGGGCACGCGCACACUGGCCAGCGUGGCGCCUGACGGGCGGGCCCAACCGGUCAGUUUCUCUGUCAAUACGUAUAAAACACACUUUGAACCUUUUUUGCAACGGCUCGCCCCAAUCUUGGUACUGACACGUAAAAAUUACCAAUCUUGGUACCAAUCUGCUUCCAAUGCCCCAAUUGUGGUACUUCUGUGCAAUUUACUCUGGUUUAAUAAAUCUCGAUCGUAGUGAUACACAUAUUCGUAAUAUCGAUGCCAAAAGAUGCAAAGUUGAUAAUGAUAGUGCAACAUAAUUGUGGCACUGCCAUUUAGGUCAUAUUGGUGUAAAGCGCAUGAAGAAACUCCAUGCUGAUGGGCUUUUGGAAUCACUUGAUUAUGAAUCAUUUGAUAUUUGCGAAUCAUGCCUCAUGGGCAAGAUGACAAAAACUCAGUUCUCCGGAACAAUGGAGCGAGCCAAUGACUUACUAGAAAUAAUACAUACCGAUGUAUGUGGUCCGAUGAGUUUUGAGGCUCGCAGCGGGUAUUCAUUAUUUUUUGACCUUCACAAAUGAUUUGAGCAGAUAUGGGUAUAUCUACUUAAUGAAACACAAGUCUGAAACAUUUGAAAGGUUCAAAGAAUUUUAGAGUGAAGUGGAGAAUCAUCGUAACAAGAAAAUAAAGUUUCUAUGAUCUGAUCGCGGAGGUGAAUAUUUGAGUUACUAGUGUGGCCUUCAUUUAAAACAAUGUGGAAUAGUUUCACAACUCACGCCACCUGGAACACUACAGCGUAAUGGUGUGUCCGAACGUCGUAACCGUACUCUAUUACAUAUGGUGCAAUCUAUGAUGUCUCUUACCGAUUUACCACUAUUGUUUUGGGUUAUGCAUUAGAGACAACUUCAUUCACGUUAAAUAGGGCACCAUCAAAAUCCGUUGACGACACCGUAUGAACUGUGGUUUGGCAAUAAACCUAAGCUGUCGUUUCUUAAAGUUUGGUGUUGCGACACUUAUGUCAAAAGGCUUCAGCCUGAUAAGCUCGAACCCAAAUCAGAGAAGUGCAUCUUCGUAGGAUACCUUCAAGAAACAAUUGGGUACACCUUCUACCAUAGAUCCAAAGGAAAGAUAUUUGUUGCCAAGAAUGGAACCUUUCUAGAGAAGGAGUUUCUCUCGAAAGAAGUGAGUGGGAGGAAAGUAGAACUUGAUGAGGUAAUUGUACCUUCUCUCAAUUUGGAAAGUAGCUCAUCCGAGAAAUCCAUUCCCGUGAUGCUUACACCAACUAGAGUGGAAGCUAAUGAUAAUGAUCAUGAAACUUCAGAUCAAGUUACUAUUAAUCAUUGUAGGUCAACCAGAGCAUGAUCCGCACCAGAGUGGUAUGGUAAUCCUGUUCCGGAAGUCAUGUUACUUGACCAUGACGAACCUACGAACUAUGAAGAAGCUAUGAUGAGCCCAUUUUCUGAUAAAUGGCUUGAGGCCAUGAAAUCUGGGAUAGGAUCCAUGUAUGAGAACAAAGUGUGGACUUUUGUGGAUUUGCUCGAUGAUCGGCAAUCCAUAGAGAAUAAAUGGAUCUUCAAGAAGAAGAUUGAAGCUGAUGGUAAUGUUACUGUCUACAAAGCUCGAUCUGUCGCAAAAGAUUUUUGACAAAUUCAAGGGGUUGACUACGAUGAGACUUUCUCAACCGUAGUAGUCCGUACAAAUCAUGUUAGCAAUUGCCACAUUUUAUGAAAUCUGGCAAAUGGAUGUCAAAACUACAUUCCUUAAAUGGAUAUCUCUAAGAAGAGUUGUAUAUGAUGCAACCAGAAGGUUUUGUCGAUCCUAAAGGUGCUAACAAGUUGUGCAAGCUCCAGCGAUCCAUCUAUGGACUGGUGCAAGCAUCUCGGAGUUGGAAUAUACGCUUUGAUGAGGUAAUCGAAGCAUAUAGUUUUAUACAGACUUAUAGUGAAGCCUGUAUUUACAAUAAAGUGAGUGGGAGCUCUGUAGCAUUUCUGAUAUUAUAUGUGGAUGACAUAUUGUUGAUCAGAAAUGAUAUAGAAUUUCUGGAUAGCAUAAAAGGAUACUUGAAUAAGAAUUUUUCAAUGAAAGAUUUCGGUAAAGCUGCUUACAUAUUGGGCAUCAAGAUCUAUAGAGAUAGAUCAAGAUGCUUGAUAAGAUUUUCAAUGAGUACAUACCUUGACAAGUUUUUGAAAAGGUUCAAAAAUGGGCCAGUCAAAGAAAGGGUUCUUGUCUGUGUUGAAAGGUGUGAAGUUGAGUAAGACUCAAAGCCUGACCACGACAGAAGAUAGAGAGAGAAUGAAAGUCAUUCCCUAUGCCUCGGUCAUAGGUUCUAAAAAGUAUGCCAUGCUGUGAACCAGACCUGUUGUCUUCCUUGCCAAUGAGUUUGGCAAGGGGUUACAAUAGUGAUCCAGGAGUAGAUCACUAGAUAGCGGUCAAAAUUAUCCCUAGAGGACUAAGGAAAUAUUUGUCGGUUAUGGUGGAGAUAAAGAGUUCGUCGUAAAGAGUUACGUCGAUGCAAGCUUUUACACUGAUCCAGAUGACUCGAAAGUCUCAAUCUGGAUACGUAUUGAAAAUGGAAGCAAUUAGCUAGAGUAGCUCCAUGCAAAGCAUUGUAGACAUAGAAAUUUGCAAAAUACAUACGGAUCAGAAUGUGGCAGACCCAUUGACUAAACUUCUCUCACAAGCAAAACAUGAUCACACCUUAGUACUCUUUGGGUGUUUAUCACAUAACGAUGUGAACUAGAUUAUUGACUCUAGUAAACCUUUUGGGUAUUGGUCACAUGGCGAUGUGAACUAUGGGUGUUAAUCACAUAAAGAUGUGAUCUAUUGGUGUUAAAUCACAUGGCGAUGUGAACUAGAUUAUUGACUCUAGGGCAAGUGGGAGACUGAAGGAAAUACGCCCUAGAGGCAAUAAUAAAUGUUUAUUAUUCAAGCUAGAAUUGUAUUAACCGGAAACUUGAUACAUGUGUGAAUACAUAGACAAAAAUACCGUGUCCCUAGUAAUCCUCUACUAUACUAGCUCUUUAAUCAAAGAUGGUUAAGUUUCCUAACCAUAGACAUAUGUUGUCAUUUGAUGAACAGGAUCACAUCAUUAGUAGAAUGAUGUGAUGGACAAGACCCAUUCGUUAGCUUAGCAUUAUGAUCGUUCAGCUUUAUUGCUUUUGCUUUCUUCAUGUCAAAUACAUAUUCCUUCGACUAUGAGAUUAUGCAACACUCCCGGAUACUGGAGGAAUGCCUUGUGUGCUAUCAAACGUCACAACGUAACUGCGUGAUUAUAAAGAUGUUCUACUGGUAUCUCCGAAGGUGUUUUUUGGGUUGGCAUAGAUCGGGAUUAGGAUUUGUCACUCCGAGUAUCAGAGAGUUAUCUCUGGGCCCUCUCGGUAAUGCACAUCAUAAGAAACGUUGCAAGCAAAGUGACUAAUGAGUUAGUUGCAGGAUGAUGCAUUACGGAACGAGUAAAGAGACUUGCCGGUAACGAGAUUGAACUAGGUACCGAGAUACCGACGAUCAAAUCUCGGGCAAGUAACAUACCGAUGACAAAGGGAACAACGUAUGUUGUUAUGCGGUUUGACCGAUAAAGAUCUUCGUAGAAUAUGUUGGAACCAAUAUGAGCAUCCAGGUUCCGCUAUUGGUUAUUGACCGGAGAGGUGUCUCGGUCAUGUCUACAUAGUUCUUGAACCCGUAGGUUCCGCACGCUUAACGUUCGAUGACGAUUUGUAUUAUAUGAGUUAUGUGAGUUGGUGAGCGGAUGCUGUUCGGAGUCCCGGAUGAGAUCAUGGACAUGACGAAGAGGGCGAGCCCCCUCUUGCCUUCUCUUCCACAUGCUAGGAAAAUAAAAGGGGAGCGCCUCCCCUCUUGCCUUCUCCCGCACGCGCCAACAAGGAAAGGGGGGCGACUAGGGCAGGUGCCCAGCUAGGGCGGCCGCCGGCCCCCUUGGGGCACGCCCUAGGUAGCCUCCCCUCCCCCUCCACCUAUAUAUAUGCGAGGAGGGGAGGGGGCAACACACACCACGAUUCCCAAGCUGUGUGCGCCGCCCCCUCUCCCUCUAGUUCCUCCUCUGUCCAAAUCCAUUAUGCUUAGUGAAGCCUUGCGGAAAAGUUUCACCACCACCGUCACCACGCCAUCCUGCUGCCAGAACUCAUGUACUACUUCGCCCUUCUUGCUGGAUCGAGAAGGCGAGGACGUCAUCGAGAUGACUGUGUGCUAAAUGCGAAGGUGUCGUGCGUUCGGUGCUUGAUCGGUACAGAUCGUGAAGAUGUACGACUACAUCAACCAUGUUGAUAAACGCUUCCGCUUAGUGAUCUACAAGGGUAUAUAGAUGCUCUCCCCCUCUCGUAGCUAUGCAUCUCCAUGGAUAGAUCUUGCGUGUGCGUAUAAUUUUUUUUGUUUUCCAUGCAACGUUCCCCAACAUUCACUUAUAUAGCAAGUAUAAGUUGGUUUUUCACGCAUGAAAAUUUACAGAUGGAUUCCUUGAAUUUUUCUGAUAAUUUUUCAUAUAUAAAUUAUUUCAUUCUGAGCUAUGGUUAAUUUUCUAUGAAUUUUUGAAGUUUAAACAAUUUUCUGGAAUUUAUAAAUCAUUUCUGAAAUAUAAUUUCGCUAGAAAAGGAUUAUGACGUCAACAUGAGGUCAUCACGGUGUCAGCAGGUCAACUGGACUGCCCCUGGUCAAAUCUGACCAGUGGGGCCCACUGGUCAGUGACUCAGUCACUAACUAAGUUAAUUAGGGUUAAACUAAAUUUAAUCUAAAGAUUAGCCGGAGCAGGGCCCACAUGUCAGCGACCCGGGGUGGAAAAACCCCCGGUCAAAAGGGGUCAAAUCCACCGGCGACUUGACGUCGGCGGGGGCAGACGUGGCGGCGAGCUGCGGGAAUCGCCCUCCGACAUCCAAAUGGACGGCCGAGGCCAUCUACGUCAAGCCUAGGCCCAUGCGCGUCCGACGGGACAUGCGGGGGGUGGCUAGAGACGUCACCGGUGUCGACCCAGGCCGCUGCCAGAGCUCGGGUGAUCUCGGGGUCGAGGCUACGGUGGCCAUGGUGUUGCGUGCAUAGCACAUAGGGCAUCUAGGCGGAGCGGCAAGCGCAUUGGACGUGCGCCCGAGAUCAAAUGGUCAUCGGAGCAUCGGCAGUGGCGAGCGUAGGCGGCGGCGGGUUCGGGCACAGGUGGUGCGACGACUACAACGUGCGACAGAGGAAACAAAGAGCGGGGUUCGAGGGAGAGGCUCACGGUGAUUCCUACGGUGUGGACGGCAAGCUUAGAGGAGGACCGGAGCGAAUGGGGUGGCAGAGGCGAUCUCGGCGGCUGAAGGUUGAAGACGAGCGGCCUAGCGGCGUGGUUCGAUCUGUUCUCUUGGGCGGCGGCUGGCCCCGAGACACCACUUAUAACGCGGGACCUUUAGUCCUGGCUCCAGCCACGAACCGGGACUAAAGGUCCUUUAGUCCCGGCUCCAACCACGAACAGGGACUAAAGGCCAAUCUUUAGUCCUGACUCCAGCCACGAACCGAGACUAAAGGUCCUUUUUGGCGGCCAAAUUCCAUGCGGGAGCUCAAACCUUUAGUCCGAGCUGGUGGUUGCAACCGGGACUAAAGGUGACUUUCAAUUAAUUUUUAUUUUGAAGAAAUUGUUUGACAGAUUCAAUUUUACAUAUUGAAAUUAAUUCUUGUAAAAUGCAUAACAAUUCGAAAACUAAACCAAAUGAGUUGAUUCAAAAUUCUGUGGAUUCAUCUUAAAGAUUUUGAUCAACUAGUAUCAUUUUUUCAGGAAGUUGCAUAAUUAAUUUCUCACUUAUUAAUCAAAUACGGUAAUUGAAGACAUUGUUUUAAACAUUAAAAUUCAUAUCUUCAGUUCUGUUAAGCCAAAUGGAGCAAAUAAGACAUCAAAUUGUUUGCCUGAACAUAACCUACACAUUCAUAUUUAAAGGCUUUUUCUUAAGGCCAGGAAUGGUCUUUCAUAGGUCAAAACCCUCAAUUACCCUUUGUGCAUAUUUCAAGCUUUUGAAAUAUUUACAAAGGAAAUAUUCACCAUAAAUUCCAAGAAAAUUCUAGCAUGUCACAAAUGCCAUAUUUGAUUAUCUUGCCAAGUCCCAUGUCUUGGAGAACAAGAUAACAUCAUCAGAUUCCCUGAAAACCAUCUCUGUCCAUUUUCUAGUUUGAGCAAAUUUACAUCGCUAAACAUGUCCAAAUGAGCUCAAACUUGGUACACAUGCUAAAAUGGUCUAAAUAUUCAUCUAGGCCAAGUGGUGCAUCAAGGAGAACAAAUUAGCUCUGUCAAAGUAUGCCAAAACCAAUUAUGUCCAUUUCUAGGGUUUGACAAAGUUACAUCGGCAACUUUCUCUCGUUGAUCUCAAAUUUUUACCACAUUGCCAGAUCAUCAUGAGCAUCACCCCCAUCAAGUGGCACAAGUUGGAGAACAAGUUAACUUGAUCAAAGCUUGUCAAAACCAUUUCUGCACAUUUCUAGGGUUUGAAAUAUUUACAUUGCCAAGUUUCUUCGAAUGAGCUGCAAAUUUGCACACUAGGUCAAAUUGAUACCAAGAUCAUUCCCGUUAAACUACAAAGCCAUUGGAUUCCUCUAAGUACCUCUAUUCAUCAUCAAACACCUUCUGCCAAAAUCUUGUGGUCAAUGAUUGGGGGUACCAAAUGGAUUCUCCUUUAGCUCAAAUUUUUACCAGAGCUCACCCUAGUCAUAUUCUACCUAUAGUAACUCUCUCUCUUCCAUAGCUCAAUAAUUCAGGGGUGAAAACCCUCACUUUACCAAAUGGAGCAAAUAAGAUGUCAAAUUGUUUGUCUUAACAUAACCUACACAUUCAUAUUUUGUUUGGACAUAAUUGCAUCGGUUAACUCCUCUGUAUAUAAUUAAAAUACUAAAAGGACAAAAAUAGUUGAAAAUUCAUAACUUAAUAAAUAAUUAUUCAAAAAUCAUGUUUCAAAUGCCAAAAUGCCCUAGAUUUUUCGUUGGAUUUCGACGCUUCGGAGUCCACCUAGGAACACCCAAAACACAUAUAUACCCUAACUCUUACAAAGAUUCCCUCUGGUUUGUCCGAAGUGGGACUUUCCAGCUAUAAGUCCGGAAACUCACUAGAGAGAAAGUGAUGACGGUGAAGCCAGUCAUAUCCCAGAGUGGGAUCUUGGGGCAUAAAACGUUUUCUUCGCGUGUGUCCCUUACUUAUGAUUGCACUGUAACCAUGGAGAAUCUUCAUCAUUUAACAUGAUGCUCGGGUCAGUCUUCACUGUGAAGGGAGGAAUUUCAUCAUCAUAAUCUUCUGACAUGUCUGUCUUCUCCUCCACUCCCACGAUGUUUCUUUUCCCUGAAAGAACUAUGUGGCUCUUUGGCUCAUCAUAUGAUGAUUCACUUCCUUAUCUCUUUUUCUCGGUUUGGUAGACAUGUCCUUCACAUAGAAAACCCACGCCACAUCAUUGGCUAGGACGAAUAGUUUCAUAUUUGUACCCAGGAUUGUUGAGAUCCACUGUUAUCAUUACGUACUACAGGUCCACCUUUACCCCGCCUCCUGUCAGAUUGACCCAUUUGCACCGAAACAAAGGGACCUUAAAAGAAGGUUCAUAGUCAAGUUCCCAUAUCUCCUCUAUGUAACCGUAAUAUGUGUCCUUUUUCCUAUUGUUGUUUGUUGCAUGAAAGCGGACACCACUGUUUUGGUUGGUGCUCUUUUUAUCUUGGGCGAGCAUGUAAAAUGUAUUUGAUCCCAUUUAUCUCGUACCCUUUGAAAGUCAAUAUAGUCAAAGAUGGUGACUUGGCCAAUAAGUACAGCUCAUCUCCAAUAGUGGUGUUAAUCAUGAGAUGUGUUUGCAACCAACCGCCAAAAGUCGCCAUGUGUGGAUGUUUAAUCCAGGGGUCAGACUGCUCCGGGUUCUCAGAGCAUACAAUAUCCAUGUGUUCCUCGAUAUACGGAACCACCAAGGUGGAAUUUUGUGAAACUGUUUAGUGUGCUUGAGUGAAAGAAUGCCCGUCCAUACUUAUUACUGAAUUCUUUCCUAGCUUGCCUUUUCCACUCAGUCUCCCCUCAUGUCGCGAUUGAGGAACACCAAUCGGCUUAAGGUUAGGAAUAAAGUCAACACAAAACUCAAUAACCUCCUUUGUUUCAUGGCCCUUGGAGAUUCUUACUUCUGGCCUAGCACGGUUAUGAACAUAUUUAUUUAAGACUCCCAUGAACCUCUCAAAGGGGAACAUAUUGUGUAAAAUACAGGACCAAGAAUGGUAAUCUCUUCCACUAGGUGAACUAGGACGUGCGUCAUAAUAUUGAAGAAAGGAUGGUGGGUACACCAACUCGAAACUGACAAGACAUUGUACCAAAUCAUUCUGUAACCUUGAUAGGAUUUCUGGAUUGAUUACCUUCUGAGAAACUGCAUUGAGGAAUGCACAUAGCUUCACAAUGGCUAAUCGAACAUUUUCUGGUACAAGCCCCCUCAAUGCAACGGGAAGUAAUUGCGUCAUAAUCACAUGGCGGUCAUGAGACUUUAGGUUUUGGAUUUUUUUUCUCUACCAUAUUUAUUAUUCCCUUUAUAUUCGACGAGAAGCCAGACGGGACCUUCAUACUGCUCAGGCAAUCAAAAAACAUUUCCUUCUCUUCUUUGGUAAGAGCAUAGCUGGCAGGACCAUGAUACUGCUUUGGAUGCAUGCCGUCUUUUUUGUUCAUAUGUUGCUGGUCCUCCCGUGCCUACGGUGUAUCUUUUGUCUUCCCAUACACGCCCAAGAAGCCUAGCAGGUUCAUGCAAAGAUUCUUCGUCACGUGCAUCACGUCGGUUGCAGUGUGGACCUCUAGGACUUUCAAAUUGGGUAGCUCCCAAAAUAUAGAUUUGUUCUUCCAUAUUGGUGCGUGUGCGUUUGCAUCAUGCGGAACAGAUUGUCCGCCAGGACCCUUUCCAAAGGUUACUUUUAAAUCCUUGACCAUAUCAAAUAUAUCAUCACCAGUAUGGUGGUCAGGCUUCUUCCAUUGAUCUGCCUCACCUUUGAAAUGCUUGCCUUUCUUUCUUAAGAGAUGCCUGGUCGGAAGAAAUUGACGAUGUCCUAGGUACACAUUCUUCUUACAUUUAUCCAAAUAUAUACUUUCAGUCUCAUCUAAAUAGUGCGUGCAUGCAUUGUAUCCCUUGUUUGUCUGUCCUGAAAAGAGUAGGCCAAUCAUUGAUGGUUACAAAUAGCAACGCUUGUAGGUCCAAUUCCUCCUGUUUAUGCUCAUCCCACACAUGUACACAUUUUAUUAUCCACAACUAUAAAAGUUCUUCAACUAAUGGCCUUAAGAACACAUCCAUGUCAUUGUCAGGUUGCUUAGGGCCUUGGGUGAGCACUGGCAUCAUAAUGAAUUUCCACUUCAUGCAUAACCAAGGAGGAAGGUUAUCGAUACAUAGAGUCACAGGACAGGUGCUAUGACUGCUUCUCUACUCCCCCACAAGGAUUAAUGCCAUCUAUACUUAUACCAAACCAUAAGUUCCUUGCAUCAUCUGCAAACUCCGGCCACUUUCUCUCAAUUUUUCUCCACUGCGACCCAUCAGCGGGUACUCUCAACAUCCCGUCUUUCUUACGGUCUUCUUUGUGCCACGGCAACAACUUGGUAUGCUAUUUGUUUUGGAACAAACAUUUCAAUCGUGGUAUUAUAGGAGCAUACCACAUCACCUUGGCAGGAACCCUAUUCCUGGGGCGCUCGCCCUCAACAUCACCAGGGUCAUCGCGGCUGAUCUUAUAGUGCAAUGCACCGCAUACCGGGCAUGCAUUCAAAUUCUCGUACUCCUCACCGUGGUAGAGGAUGCAGUCAUUAGGGCAUGCAUGUAUCUUGUGCACCUCUAAUCAUAGAGGGCAGGCAACCUUAUUUGAUUCGUACGUACUAUCGGGCAAUUCGUUAUCCUUUGGAAGCAUCUUCUUUAACAUUUUCAGCAACUUUUCAAAUCUCUUGUCAGAUGCACCAUUCUCUGCCUCCCAUUGCCGCAAUUCCAGUGUGGUACCAAGCAUUUUCUUGUCAUCUUCACAAUUUGGUUACAACAAUUUUUUGUGAUCCUCUAACAUACGGUGUAACUUUAACUUCUCCUAUUCACUUUCGUAGUUUCUCUUUGCAUCAGCAAUGGCUCAACCAACAUCAUCAGCAGACUCAUCUGAUGCCUCUUCCCCAGCUUCCCCCAUUGUACUACCAUCAUAUUUAGGGAACCUAGGAUAGUUUUCAUCCUCCUCUUCUUCUUCAUUGUCUUCCAUUAUAACCCCUCUCUCUCCGUGCUUGGUCCAACAGUUAUAGCUGGACAUGAAACCGGACUGAAGCAGGUGGCUGUGAAGGAUUUUUGAGGUAGAGUAAUCCUUACCAUUAUUACAAACACCACAUGGACAACACAUAGAACCAUUCCUCUUGUUUUCCUUAGCCACACGCAGAAAACUAUGCAUGCCAUUAAUGAGCUGGGGAGAGCGUCGGUCAUCGUACAUCCAUUUUCAGAUCAUCUUCAUUACACAACAUCGAAGUGACCAAAUUAAUACAAGUUCAAACAUAAAGUUCAUACAUACUUCUCAUGAAACACCAUACAAGUAUAUAUCUAGCUAAAGCAUUUAAAUGCAACAACAAAUGCGAUAAAAAUCACAACUAUGGAAAUAAUCGAUCCAACAACAUAAUGAUAUCAAGCCUCUUUAUUAAUGGCAUAUUUUCUAAUCUUUCUAAUCUUCAAGCGCAUUGCAUCCAUCUUAAUCUUGUGAUCAUCGACGACAUCGGCAACAUACAACUCCAAUUUCAUUUUCUCUUCUUCAAUUCUUUUCAAUUUUUCUUUCAAAUAAUUGUUUUCUUUUUCAAUUAAAUUUAAAUUCUCGACAAGAGGGUCGGUUGCAAUUUCCGGUUCACAUACCUACUAGAUAAAAAUAUCUAUGUCAACUUGAUGGGCAUAAUUGUCAUAAACACGAAAUGAAACAAAUAGUUAUAAAAUAUAAUAUACCACAUCUGAAACAUAAACUGGACGUGGGCUUGUGGCCACCCCAAAGGUCAGUUGGAGGUGUCCUUUGGACGCAAGGAAGCUUGUAUCCGGAUAGAAAUCGUGUUAAAAUUUCAGCCCAAUCAGAGUUACGGAUCUCCGGGAAUUUAAGAAACGGUGAAAGGCCAGAAACAGGGGUCGUGAAACAGAAGAGAAACAGAGAGACAGAUCCAAUCUCGGAGGGGCUCUCGCCCCUCCGCCACCAUGGAGGCCAUGGACUAGAGGUGAAACCCUUCUCCCAUCUAGGGGAGGUCAAGGAAGAAGAAGGAGGGGGCUCUCUCCCCCUCUCUCCCAGUGGCGCCGGAAUGCCGCCGGGGCAAUCAUCUUGUGACGGCGAUCUACACCAACACCUCCAUCAUCUUCCCCAACAUCUUCAUCACCUUCCCUCCAUCCAUAUUCAGCGGUCCACUCUCCCGCAACCCGCUGUACCCUCUACUUGAACAUGGUGCUUUAUGCUUCAUAUUAUUAUCCAAUGAUGUGUUGUCAUCCUAUGAUGUUUCAGUAGAUUUUUGUUGUCCUAUCGGGGAUUGGUGAAUUGCUAUGACUGGUUUAAUUUGCUCGUGAUUAUGUUGCUGUCCUUUGGUGCCAUCAUAUGAGCGUGCGUGUGGAUCACACCAGAGGGUUAGUUGAAUGUUGAUAGGACUAUGUAUUGGAGGGCAAGGGUGACAGCAGCUUCAGCCUAGCAUAGAAAUUGAGGCAUACGGGAUUGAAGGGGGACCAAUAUAUCUUAAGGCUAUGGUUGGGUUUUACCUUAAUGAAUGACAGUAGUUACGGAUGAUUGCUAGAGUUCCAAUCAUAAGUGCAUAGAAUUCCAUGUAAGGGAUGACAUGCUAGCAGUGGCCUCUCCCACAUUAAACUUGCUAUCGGUCUAGUAAUGUAGUCAAUUGCCUAGGGAAAAUUCCCCAACUCCUACCACCACUUCUCGACACUCGCUAUAGCCCCUAGUUUAUAUUUUCAUGCUCUUUAUUAUCUUGCAAACCUAUCCCACAACACCUACAAAGUACUUCUAGUUUCAUACUUGUUCUAUGUAAAGCGAAUGUUGCGUGCGUAGAGUUGUAUCGGUGGUCGAUAAAACUUGAGGGAAUAUUUUUUCUACCUUUAGCUCCUAGUUGGGUUGGACACUCUUACUUAUCGAAAGAGGCUACAACUGAUCCCCUACACGUGUGGGUUAUCAAGACCUUUUUCUGGCGCCGUCGCCGGGGAGCAAUUGUGUGGGGUGAAUAUUCUCGUGUGUGCUUGUUUGCUUUAUCACUAAGUAGAUUUUAUUUGCUAUUCUAAGUUGUUCUUUAUCUUUAGUUAUGGAUAUGGAACACGAAAUACCAAAAAAUUAGGCGUACUAGCUACUCAUGGAGAUGGGGAACCUCCUAAAAUCCUGGAUGCUCGCUAUGUGGAAAGUAUUAAACACUACUUUGAUAAUCCUAAGAAAACCCCGUUCAACUUGAUAAUGGGAGACACAUUGGAUCAACGUGAAUACUUUAUGGAUUAUCGCUUGACUCUAAAAGGAAAAUUGUAUGGGAUCGAAUUCAUAUGUUGCAUUGGUAUGCUUGUAAUUUAUGCCGCAGAUAUGAUUAUACCUGUUGCUCUAGGAUGAAGGCUCCACACCUUCCCUUUUCAUGUAAAUUUAAUGAUAAUGAAACCUUGGCUUCUUGUGCUAAUUCUAUAUAUGAUUGCUAUUAUGUGGAACAAAUAGAAGAAUUUGUUGCUUUUAAGGGUUCUUAUGAAAUUGAAUAUUUUUUGAAAAGUGUGAACAUUUUGAUGAUGCUCUUUACAGACCUGAAAAUUAUGCUAUAUUUAAAUAUUGCUAUGAGAAUUGUGAAUAUAAUGCCGAUAUUAAUGAGUUUAUUGAGAAAGUCUCCGCUAUCCAAGAAGAGAAUAAUAUUUUGCAGGAAUCUAUGGAAGAAUAAAUUUAUGACACUAUGAGCUCAUUAGAUGAAAAAGAUGAGGAGGAGAGCGAAGAACAAAAGGAGGAAGAGCGGAUUGAUCACCCAUGCCCACCAUCUAAUGAGAUUAACUCUUUAUCCCAUACAUUGUUUAUAUUUCCCUUUGUGCUUACCGAAGGAUGAAUGCUAUGAUGAUUGCUAUGAUCCCUUGGAUUCGUUUGAAAUAUCCCUUUUCGAUGAACUUGAUGCUUGCUAUGCUUGUGCCCAUGAUGCCAAUAUGAAUUAUGCUUAUGGAGAUGAACUUGCUAUAGUUCCUGUUGCUAUUGCACCCAUGCAUGAUAGUCCUAUUAUCUUUUUGAAAUCUCCCAGCUACACUUUAUCGGAGAAGUUCGCGCUUAUUAAGGAUUAUAUUAAUGGGUUGUGUUUUACUACUACACAUGAUGGUUUUGAUAAAUAUAAUAUGCAUGUGCUUGAUGCUCCUACUUGGAAUUAUUAUGAGAGAGACACUACUUCUUCUCCUCUCUAUGUUUCCAGUACGAUAAAAUUGCAAGAAAUUGUUUAUACUAUGCAUUGGCCUUUACUUGAUGUGCAUGGAUUGUUCUUUUAUGACAUGCCGAUGUAUAGGAAGAGAGUCAAACUUCGUUGUUCGAUGAUAUAUGUUGCUUUGUGCUCAAAACAAAGUUAAAAAUCAUUGUUAAUUAAAAUUGGCUUUGAUAUACCUUGGGAUCCUGGUGGAUCAAUUGCUUGAGCACUAUAUGCCUAGCUUAAUGGCUUUAAAGAAAGCGUUGCCAGGGAAACAACCCAGAAGUUUUACAGAGUCAUUUAUUUUGGUUUUGUGCUUUUAUAAGGUGUAAAAACAAAAAAAAUAAAGUGGGGAAUCUAAAACUUUUUCAAAAAGAAAAGUGAAAGUAAGAAAGACGAGCACCGUUGAAGUGGGGGAGCUCCUUGAACUUUGUUCAUGCCCAUGGAAACUUUGCAAACCUUGAUUACAUAAACUUUUAAACCAAAAUAAUUAUCCCCUUGUACAAAUCCAUUGUAUUAUAAAAAUAAUGUGCCAAGAUUUGCCUUUAGGAUGAUUAGAUUGCUUGUUUGGUUUGUGCAGUGCAAAAACAGAAACUUUAGUUGUAGUGUGUGAAUUUUAAUUUUUUACUGGAACGCCAAAAGUUUCUGAAAAUUUUACGCAAUACUGCUAUGCAAUAUUUUUAUUUUGUCCUAAGUUUUCAGAAUUUUUGGAGUUACAGAAGUAUGGUAGAUGUUUAGAUUGCUACAAAUUGUUCUGUUUUUGAUAGAUUCUAUUUUUGAUGCAUUGUUUUACGUGUUUUGAUGAAUCUAUGGAUUGUAUCGGUGAUAUAAGUCAUGGUGAAGUUAGAGUACAAUAGUUAUAAUGAAAAAGUAAAAUAUGAAUGAGUUUUCAACAAUACUUAAAGUGGUGAUUUGCUUUAUUAUACUAACGGAUCUCACGAGGGGUUUUGUUAAGUUUUGUGUGAUUGAAGUUUUCAAGUUUUGGGUGAGAUCGUGAUGGAUGAAGGAAUAAGGAGUGGCAAGAGACUAAGCUUGGGGAUUCCCGAGGCACCCCAAGGUAAUAUUCAGGGACUCCCAAGCUACUAAGCUUGGGGAUGCCCCGGAAGGCAUCCCCUCUUUCUUCUAACGACCAUCGGUAAUUUUACUUGGAGCUAUAUUUUUAUUCAUCACAUGAUAUGCGCAAAUUCUUGGAGCAUCUUUUGUGUUCAUUUUUCCUUCUUAUUUUAUGCACCAUGCUGGUAUGAGAAAGUCCUCGGUUGAUUUAUAGAAUGCUUCAUGCACUUCACUUAUAUCUUUUGAGUAUGGCUUUAUAGAAUGCUUCAUGUGCUUCGCUUAUAUCAUUUGAAGUUUGGAUUGCUUCUUUCUCUACACAUAGAAAACCGCCAUUUGUAGAAUGCUCUUUUGCUUCACUUAUAUUUGUUAGUGUGUGGGCAUAUAUUUUGUAGAAAGAAUUAAACUCUCUUGCUUCACUUAUAUCUAUUUAGAGAGUUAACAGGAAUUGGUCAUUCACAUGGCUAGUCAUAAAAUCCUACAUAAAAACUUGUAGAUCACUGAAUAUGAUAUGUUUGAUUCCUUGCCAUAGUUUUGCGAUAUAAAGAUGGUGAUAUUAGAGUCAUGCUAGUGAGUAAUUGUGGAUUGGUAGAAAUACUUGUGUUAAGGUUUGUGAUUCCCUAAGCAUGCACGUAUGGUGAACCGCUAUGUGAUGAAAUCGGAGCAUGAUUUAUUUUUUGAUUGUCUUCCUUAUGAGUGGUGGUCAGGGACGAGCGAUGGUCUUUUCCUACCAAUAUAUUCCCCUAGGGGCAUGCGUAUUAGUACUUUGCUUUGAUGGCUAAUAAAUUUUUGCAAUAAGUAUGUGAGUUCUUUAUGACUAAUGUUGAGUCCAUGGAUUAUACGCACUCUCACCCUUCCACCAUUGCUAGCCUUUCUCGUGUCACACAACUUUCGCCGGUGCAUAAAACCAUACUUAUACCUUCCACAAAACAGCCACCAUACCUACCUAUCAUGGCAUUUCCAUAGCCAUUCUAAGAUAUAUUGCCAUGCAACUUGCAUCAUCAUAUACAUUACUUGAGUGUUCAUUGACAUAUUGCUUUGCAUGAUCGUAAGAUAGCUAGCAUGAUAUUUUCAUGGCCUGUCAGAUUUUUGAUAUCUUUGCUAUGCUAGAUCGUUGCACAUCCUGGUACACUGCUAGAGGCAUUCAUGUGGUCAUGAUAUGUAUCAGUUUUAUCAAGUUGUGAUACUGAGUUGUAAGUAAAUAAAAGUGUGAUGAUCAUCUGUGAUGCCCCCGAUUUGACCGUACACUAAUCAUGCACGCAAAUGUGUACGAUCAAGAUCAGGGACUCACGGGAAGAUAUCACAACACAACUCUACAACAUAAAUAAGUCUUACAAGCAUCAUAAUACAAGCCAGGGGCCUCGAGGGCUCGAAUACAAGUGCUCGAUCAUAGACGAGUCAGCGGAAGCAACAAUAUCUGAGUACAGACAUAAGUUAAACAAGUUUGCCUUAAGAAGGCUAGCACAAAAGUAGCAACGAUCGAAAAGGCAAGGCCUCCUGCCUGGGACCUCCUAACUACUCCUGGUCGUC
rnacentral:lncRNA from 1 species